UGAGAGGUGUGAUAUCCACCCAGUUUAUAUGGAGGAGUUUGACAAAACUACAAUCCAAUGGAAUCACUUUACCACUUAUAAUAUGAAUGGAUCCCCUCAAAUUUUUUUUGCAUCAAAGAUGGUUGUAGCAACAAUGUCAAGGCGAAACCUUACUGCAUAUGUUGAGGUGAUGAGGAACCACAACCUCAAGGAUCCAUUUAGUGAACUCAAAUAAAGGGAGAAGCCUGCUUAGUAUUCUUUGAAUAUUUCAGUAAGCAUGCAUCUUCAAUUUCAGUUGGCAAUUUUUAUUUUAUAUAUGUUAAAUUACCACAAAACCAAAAUAUCAUCUCUAAAGUUGUUACCUUCCAUGAAUCGAAAAUGCUUUCAUGCUUGAUCAGAUUGUUUAAGUAUGCGUUCCUAAAAUAUACAAAAGUGCUCAGGAAAAUGGCACGGAAUAAUUAGUGUAUAAUAAAUUUUAUUUUUGGUAAUUUUUUAGAUGCAUAUGGUUUUAAAGUUCUCUUCAAAUAGCUGGACUUGCCAUAUACUAUAAUAUUGUUUAGUAAGGCAUUACUAUCAUAUCAUAUAUUUUGUUUAUCUAUCAUUAAUAUUUACAUUUUUAUUAUUUCAUUAAUCUUAUUUUAAUUUACUUUGUAUUCAUAGACAUAAUUUAAGAAUAUAAUAUUAUUGUUCUUAUGUUUCCGUUUUCGUAUAUAAAUUCCUGGAAGAUGCUCCAACAUCAAUUUUGUCGUUAUUGAAUAAACAAAAAAAAAAAAAAAGAUACAACAACUGAUGCUCUCAUUCACAAAGAACUAGAUAAUGUUCAGGCAUUAGAUGACUCCAGACAGCUGCAAGCUAUGAAAGAAGAAUAUGAUGUUUUGAUUAAGAAUAAUACAUGGACAUUAGUUCCAAGACAAGCUGUCAUCACGUUGCUGACAAUAAAUGGGUGUGAAGGAUCAAGUAUAACAAAGAUGGAAGUGUAGCUAAGUAUAAAUCCAAGCUUAUUGCAAAAGGAUUUUAGCAAGUGGCAGGGGUGAAUUACUUUAAAACAUUCAGUCAAGUGGUUAAAUUAGCUAUUAUUAGAGUGGUGUUGAGCCUAGGAGUGAUGAACUAAUGGAAAAUAAGACAAGUUAAUGUUAACAAUGCCUUUUUUAAUGGAGAGUUAAAUGAGGAGGUAUUCAUGUGUCAGCCGGAAAGGCUUUAUUAAUGUUGAGAAACUUGAAUUUGUGUGCAAAUUGUACAAAUGUCUAUAUAGACUCAAACAAGUUCCUAGAGCUUAAUUUGAUAAGCUAAAAAGUUGUUAAUUGCAUUAGGGUUUUAUUAAUACUAAUUUGGAUACCUCUCUUUUCAUAAGAAGAAACACUCAUUACAAGUCCAAGUACUAUAAAGUUAAAAAGUUUUAUAACUCAGUUUAGGAAAGCAUUUGCCUUAAAAGACUUAGGAAUAUUAUCUUAUUUCCUUGGAAUUAAAGUGUUGCAAGACGCACAUUGUGUAUAUUUAUCACAAAGAAAAUACAUAAGAGAUCUGUUGUCUAUAGUUGAAAUGGUUGAAUGCAAAGGCAUUGACACACUUAUGGUGUCAAUGCCUAUGUUGGCAUUGACACCCCAACAUAGGCAUUAAACCAACAUCAUAUAAAUUAGCAUUAAGUUCGAUCAAAUUCAUAUUGUCUUCAAUAAGAUUUGAAAGUAAGUGAAGUUUAACACACCAAUAGUUUUGGUGAUCUGUCUGAAACGUAAUAGACAACACCACUUAUUGGAUUUUAUUUCCUAAAAUACUUAUUGUUUAAUUUAUAAAAUAUAAACUCAUUUAUUAAAAUUAAAUAUCUUCUCAUAAAUAUAGAUAUAAAUUAUGAAAUGAUGUGGGUGUAAAUUAUUUAUUAAAACCUUAAUUUAUUUAAGUGUUUAAUUGAAAUCCCAUUUAAAAUUUUUUAAAAAUUAUUUAUUUAUAGUUAUUCAAGUAGUUUUAAUAGAAAAUGAAUUUUAUAAGAAAUUUUAAGGGAUGUCGAAAGGCUACUCUUGAAAUAAAUGACCCAAGUCCAUUUGGGCCCAUGUAUAAGGAACGAGGUCUCAGUUUAAAGGCCGGAUCGGGGUCGAGCCUCAACUCACGCUUACAUAAAAAGGAAUGAGAAAAAAUUAAAAAUAUAAAUGGAUUUCUCUAUGAUGCUGUAAUUUUUUUAUAGCAUCAAUAAUGUUUUAAUUGUGUACCAUUGGAUUAAAUCUAAUGGUAUACAAUAUUUGUACUAAAGAAAAAAAAUUAAAAAUAAUAGUAAACAGAUUGUUAACCGUUCAAGGGGUGGAUAAAUUUUGUAAAAUAAUUGUGAUCACCCUUAGAGUUUGAAGCAAUUUAACUUAAAUAGCAUAUUUUAUUUAAAAUUACUUUUCUACUCUCCUUUAAAUUUGUAUUGUGAUAAUCUUUUUUAAAAUAAAUCUUCCAAAAUCUAUUAUCAUUAAGUAUAAAAUAUAAUAUGAAGUAGGUUAUUUAACACAAAUCAAAUAAAUAAGUUGCAAUUGUAAAAUUAAUUAUAUAUAAUAUAACACUAGUAAAUAAUACAACUAAAUAAAUAUAUUUAAGUAAAUGUCAUAGGUACAUCAAUAAACUCACUGGUGAGAUUGCUUGUAAUCUAAAAAAGACUUAAUCACACAUAUUUUAAUAAAAUUUAAUAUCUUAUAUCAAAAUAUUCAUUAUUUUAUAUAAUUUUAAGGACCGUUGUAUAAUUGAUUAUGAAGUAUAUAUUAUUUUUAACACUUGUUUAACAUACCUAUUCUCUCAUCUUUUUGUUUAGGAUUUCUCUAUAAUAUUGUAUGAGUUUUUACAGCAUUGAUAAUAGGAUUGUUGUGGACUCUUAGAUGUUAGGGUUUUCAUGUUUAGUAUUCAUUUGAUAUAGUGAAUAAAAAAUUAGCUAUUUAAAUCAUAACAAGUAAUCUUCAUGCUGCAAGUAAAUAUAGAUUUUUUUAUUUUUAAUUAAUUGAUAAAAGAAAAUUUAUAUUAUGAUGGAUAAAAAUCCCAGAAUCAAUAAUGGGAUCAUUGGAUUUAAUAUUAGAAUCUUCACCCUUAAUUUAAUUUUAAUGGAUAAGUAAUUAUGUAACAAGUAAUAUGCAAGUUGUGAUAUUUCUUCAUAUUUUAAAUUAUUUUUUAUCUAAUCAAUCAAUAAAUAUUUUAAAUCAUUAAAAAAAGGAAAGAAAUACAAAUAAUUUUGGAAUUAAAAUUAUUAUAUAUUAAUCCUCUUACUUUACAAUUUUACAUUUUUAUUUUACUUUUACAUUUAGUAUUAGAAAUAUAUUUAAUAGCAUUAAAAUAAAUGUAAUUAACAAGUAAUGGUAUUUCAAUAAUACUUUAUAUAAAGUUAUUACAUAAAGUCUUAUAAUAAUUUGUAUUGUGUGAAUUUAAUUACAAACCAUUAAUACCUAAACAAUAAUGAUAAUAGAAGGCAUUGUAAUAAAAUAUUUUAUAUAUGUUUUAUUAGUAAUACUAUGAGUCACAACAAAUGAGAAAUAUUUUAUUCACCAAUGAAAAAAAAAUAUAUGGCUAUAUAAAUAUAUAGUGAGAAAUAUUUUGAUUUAAUUUUUUAACAAAAAAUUAAACUAUUAAUUUCAUGCAAUUCAAUGGUGGAGGAUAUGCCAAUAUGAAAUGCUGCUUUGAUAUGACAAUAUGAAAUGUUGCUUUGGCUUUUAAUAUUAACCAUUACACUAUAAGAAUAAGAUAUUAAUGGCUAAAAUAUUAUGUAAAAAUUUUAAGUUCAAGUAUCCCAAACCAUGUCUUUAUAAUGGAAAUAUAAAAACAUGCAAUGAAUUUUUUUCUCAUUUUGUCAUUAAAUAUUAUUGGAUGCAAUAUUUUAUUUAUUGUACUAUUACUUAUCAUAAUAAAAGUAAUGACUCUUAGUAACAUAAAAAUUUUAUAAUUACAAUCAAAGGAUGUCAAUAAAAUAAUCUUUCAUGAUUCAUAAACUAAAACUCAUUAGGAAUAUGUGUUAGAUUAAACUUUUAUGAAAUUAACAAAGUGACAUUUGAAAAUAAAAUGAAAAUAAGCUUGUGAAAGUUAAAUUUUAUAAAGCUUGAAUAAUUUUCUACCAUGUAAAUAAAAAUAUAAAAAUAAUCUUUCAUGAUUUUUUCCCUUUUUUCCACAUAAAUAUUAUUGGAGACAAUAUUUUAUUCAUUGUCACUAGUAAUUACCAUAAUAAAAGUAAUGGCUCUCAGUAACAUAAAAUUUUAUAAUUACAAUCAAAGGAUGUCAAUAAAAUAAUCUUUCAUGAUUCAUAAAAUAAAGUUAAUUAGGAAUAUAUAUUAGAUUUAACUUUUAUGAAAUUAACAAAGUGAUAUUUGAAAAUAAAAUGAAAAUAUAUAGGCUUGUAAAACUUAAAAUUUCUAUCAUGUAAGAAUAUUAAUUAUAAGAUAAACAAAAAUAAUAUAUAUUUUAUAAUCAAUUAUACAAUAGUCUUAGUAUUAUAUAAAAUAAUGAACAUUUUAAUUUGCGAUUUUAAAUUUUAUUAAAACAUGAGUGAUUAAGUAGUUUUUAAGUUACAAUCAAUCUCACCAAUUAGUUUAUUAAUGUAACUAUGACGUUUACUUAAGUAUAUGUACUUAGUUGUGUUAUUUAUUAGUAUUAUAUCAUAUAUAAAUUUUGUAAUUGCAAUUUAUUUAUUUGAUUUGUGUUAAAUAACAUACUUCAUAUUUAUUUUAUACUUAAUGGUAAUAGAUUUUGGAAGAUUUAUUUAGAAAAGAUUAUCACAAUACAAAUUUAAAGGAGAGUUGAAAAGUAAUUUUAAAUAAAAUAUGUUAUUUAAGUGAAAUUGCUUCAAACUCUAAGGGUGGUCAAUGUGAUUUUACAAAAAUUUCUCCACUCUUAAACCGUUAACAAACUGUUUACCAUUGUUUUUAUUAUUUUUUUUCUUUAGCAAAAAUAUUAUAUACCAUUAGAUUUAAUCCAAUGGUACACAAUUAAAACAUUAUUGAUGUUGUAAAAAAAAUUACAGCAUCAUAGAGGGACCUAAUAUAAAUACAUACAUAAAAUUAGUUAAAUCAUUAAUGCAUAUAUUAAAAUUAAAAAUCUGCUUACGUUUAUAGUCAAAAAUCGCUGAAGGUUCUUUGCAUGUUUUCGCUUGUGGGGCUGUGGUCAGAAACUGUGAGGGAGAAUUUCUGGGGGAUUUCUCAUGUCCAUUACAUGUUGAAACUGCUUUUGUUGCUGAACUGUUGGCUGUUAUCUUGGCGAUUGAGCAUACUUCUUUUGGAUGUUGGACUAUGCCGUGGAUCAAAUGUGAAUAUGCUUUAACUGUGCUUCAUCUUCGUAAAAAGCGGCUUCCGCCCAUGGUUUCUCAUUCAUCGAUGGAAUAAUUGUAUUGCUCUUAUGGAUUCCAUGACGUUGCACUUUUCUCGUGUCUUCAGGGAGGCUGAUGGGGUAGCUGGUUGUUUGAGCAAUUUAGGUGCCAUGGUGGAUUCCUUUACUUGGUGGGACUCUGCACCCCUCAUGUUGCUUCUCUUUUGCAUGAGGAUGCUUUUAGGCUGCCUAGCUAUCUGUUCAGCUAGCUUUUGUAAUUUUAGUUUGGCUGGUUUUCUUGCUAUAUUUUUAUUUUAUUUUAAUAAAACCUCCUCACUUUGGUGAGGAUUCAUCAAAAAACAAAAGGAAAAAAAGUUAGAACAACCUAGAUCAAGUAAAUUAUAUCGCAGGGAUUUUCGAAGAAAUUCAAGCAUUGGAAGGAUGAAAAACAAAUAUGUAGAUGAUCGAUCUCACCUUAUAUGGAAUUGCAGGCCAAGUUCAAGGAAGGAAUUUUUGAGAAAUUAUGUUCGAUAAAAUGCCCAAGAAGGAAUGCAUCCCACCUGAUGCGUUGAACAAUGAGACGAUACAUCUGUUGCUACAAUUUAUUCACAUAAGAAAUUCAAUUAAAGCAUUUGAAUGGGAAAAUUUUUUUUUCUCUUGUUGCCAGGAACCAAAACUGUUGCCACUUUACUGGUAUACUCCGGGUGUUUUCCGCUGUUUCAAUUUACUUGCUGGUAUUUUAUUUUCGUUUGCUGAAGUAUGAUUAUUUAACAGCCAGUUACUUAUUACAAUAAGAGGCUGUGGAGUCAAUUGCUUGCAUCAUGAGCAUCCCGGGAACUACGAUGUCUGCUUGAGCUUUAGAGGUGAAGACAAGACACCCGCACUGCAAGAACUUUUCAGAUCACCUCUAGUCCACUUUGAAUAAAAUUGGAAUUAAUGUAUUUAGUGAUGAAAAAGAACGUGAAAGGGGAAUAUCCAUUUCACCAGCACCGUCUAAAGUAAUUGAAGAAUCAAGAAUUUCAGUUAUUGUCUUCUUAAGAAACUGCGCUUCUUCAACUUGGUGCUUGGAUGAACUUGUUAAGACUAUUGAAUGGAAGAACACGUCAUGUUCGCCAACAAUUGGUUUUUCCAAUUUUCUAUGAUGUUGAACCAACAGUGGUAAGGAAACAUAUAGGAAGUUUUCAAGAAGCGAUUGCUAAUCAUGAAGAAGUUCUUAAAGGAGAAUAUAGAAAGGGUGCAAAAAUGGAGAGGCGCUCUGCAAGAGGUGGCUAAUAUCUUUGGCUAGGAAUUGAAAGAUAGGUAAUCAUUCUUAUUCUCAAUGAUUAAUUUUCUAAGAUGUGGAACAACUAAUUUUUGUUUGUUCUGCAUGAAUCAUAAUAAGUGAGAAGAUGUCUGGAUUUCUCCACUAUUAAAAAACUGCCAAUAUUUAUUCAGUAUAUUUAUUUACUAGUUUCAUGUUCAGUGUGUGCAUGCGCAUGUGUAUAUUUGUAUCAACAAUAAGAUUGCAACGACCAACUUGCCUACAAUUUUCCAAUAAACUUUACAUGACAAGAUUUUAUACUAUGUUGUUGGGUGAAUGAUGUGGUAGAGCAGAGGGAUUCUAGAACUUAUCAAGUUUUUAGGCAUUCGAACAGGGAGAGACAGUAGAAUAAAUGUAUAAGAAUUUGUUAAAAUCAUAGGAUUUAAUUGAAAUAAUAACUUGAUCAAUGAAUAUCUACAUACGAAGAGUUAUAGACGAAAUUAGAGAAGAGUUACAUGAAGAAUAACCUAGAGAUUAAUCAAACACAAGUUAUGACUUUAUCACUUCCGUUUUGUAUAUAUAUAUUAUGUAAUUUUUUGACACUACGUUACGCUCACACUAGCUUUAGCUCACCAACACAAAUAUUUUCUUGUUCUAUUCAACCCGCAUGAAUGAAUCAGACUUUAUUAUGGAGAUUUUCAAUGAGAUACCAAGCAAAAUUCCUUUAAAAUCAUAGACUCUUAAGGAGCUAGUAGGAAUGGAUUCACACUUGGAGAAGCUAACGAUUCUAAUGGAUAAAGGGCCUAAUGAUGUUCGUAUGAUAGGGAUCUGUGAUAUGGGAGGUAUAGGUAAGGCAGCUCUUGCAAAGGUUGUUUAUAACUUGAUCUAUCAUGAAUUUGAAGUAAGUAGUUUUCUUGCCAACGUUAGAUAAACCUCAGAAAAAGGAGGUCAGAUUUCCUAACAAAAUGGAAUUUAUAUAAUGUUAUCAACAUAAUUGGAAGUGGGUGCGACACAAAAAUGUUAGCUAGAAAGUUCAGGCAGCAGGAUCAUCAUAACAUCCAGAGAUAAACAUCGUUGACAACACAUAGAGUGGACGAAUUGUUGGUCCUUAAGCAACUAUACUAUGAUGAAGCUCUUGGACUCCUUUGUAUAAAAGCCAAUAAGCUAGGGAAAGGAUAUAAGUAACUGUCGAAAAGUGUUGUAAACCAAUAAGCUAAGUUGUAAGAACAUUAGCUGAACAACAGCAGCAAAUUGUGGAACGUAACAAAUGUACAUCACGUGUUGACAAAAAACACGGUAAGUGACAAAGUGCAAUGCAUGUGUUUUGAGUUCAUGAUUCUAAAACUCAAGAAAUGAAGUAUAAAAUUGCUAUCAUUAUAUAAUGCAAAGUAAAACAUAUUCUGUAAUGCAGCCUACAUUUUAUUCAUUUUUUUAUGAUACACGUACAAAAUGUUUUCCUUUGCCCAAGCUAUCAAUUGCACAAUGUAGGCUUUCAAGGAGAUCCUUUGGUCCACAUUUGGUUAAUUCAAUCUUUGAUCCGAAGGAAACGACUUUGUGCCCUGAGAAAGGUAAGUGACAAAAUGUUUUGCUCGACAUUCUAUGCUUUAAAUCUAUGCAUAAAUAAUUUUAUGGACAUCUUCACAUCUUAGUCUGCACUUAUCAUCUGCUUUUAUGAUUUUUAAGGAACUGAGUAGUCGAAUGCAUGGUAUGUGACUUUUCAGAACUUAAGGUUCAUUCUAUGGACAUCUUCACAUCCUUUUCAGAACUUAAGGUUAUUUUUUAUUAAAUCUCCAAAAACACUGGUACUUUCUGGUUGCUCAAAGUUGAAGAAAUUUCCAGAGAUUGUGGGAAAUAUGAAGUUUUUGCGGGAGCUUCUUUUGGAUGGAACUGAUAUUAAGGGACUACUAUUAUCAAUUGUACGUUUAUUUGGAAUUGUUCAGUUGAAUUUGAAAGGUUGUAAAAAUAUUUAGUGUCUUCCAAAUUUUAUAAGUGCUCUAAAAUUUCCUUCCACUUUGAAUUUCUCUGGCCUUUUGAAAUUCAGAUUGUUUCUAGAGAUCAUGGGACGUAUGGAACAUAUGUUGGCACUUCGAUUGUUGGGAACUGCUAUAAGAGGAUUGCCAAUGUCAAUUGAAUAUCUCUCUGGCAUUUUUUGCAAAAUUUAAAAGGUUGUAAAUAUCUCUUGAGUCUUCCAAUUACUAUAAGUAGAUUAAAAUGUUUAAGAACUCUAAUGCUCUCUGGUUGCUCGAAGCUGGAAAAUUUUUGGGGAAGUAUGAAAUCUCUAACUAUGCUAAUUUUAGAUGGAACUGCUAUUCGAGAAUUUCCAUUGUCAGUUGAAUAUCUAACUGGCCUUGUUGUGUUGAAUUUUAAAGAUUGGCAAAAUCUCGAAUGUCUUUCAAGUCCCAUCAGUGGUUUGAAAUAUCUUAAAAUUCUGAAUCUCUCUGGCUGCUCCAAACUUGAAAAUGUGCCAGAGAACUUGGGGAAAGUAGAUAGCUUGAAAGAGCUUGAUAAUAGUGGAACAACAAUUAGGCAACUUCCGACGUCUGUUUCUAUCUUGAAGAAUCUUAAAGCAGUGGACCACAAUCAUCUACAUCAUGGGAUUUGUGCUUCCCAACCAAUAUGAUGUGAAGGAGAUCAGAUCCUAUGACUAAUUUGAUGUUACCUUCUCUAUCAGGCUUAUGUUCUUUAACAAAAUGGGAUCUCAGAGACUGUAAUCUACCAGUGGAAGGAGGAGAAAUCCCAAGUGAUAUUUGCCACAUAUGCCUAUUGCUCAAAAUGAACCAAAAUCUAAUUCCCAUACCAGAUGCAAUGUUGGCUGAAUAAUAAAUGAUAGUAUGAACUGUUGUUUCUUUGCAUACGAUCUCUCGGUUACUCCUAGAGGACUCGUGUACGACGUCCGGCUCAAGUCGUCUAAACUUAGUAAGUGAGUGCACGCGUUGGUCACGUGCACUCACUUAUACACAAUGAUCAAACGACCCGAAAAUACUGUCGUUUUUAAGAGCAUUAGUGUCAGUAUGUAGCUGUUAAAUCGGUUAGAAAGGGCGGGAAAUUAUUACAAACCCAUAACAAGCUGAUGACCGAUGACGUAUAUUGUAUGAUGUCCAUUCCGUAGCUUGCAAUUUUCUCUCUAAGUUUGUAAGUUGUUCUGAGAAAACAAAUAAAGCUUGCCAAAGAAGGCAUAGGCCACUGUAGCUAAACAUCUCUAGAUAUUGUGUUUAUGUUUUGAUUUUUUUUUUUCUGUUUGAGCGAAGCCGUACUGAUGAUGAAGAACCUCAAGCUACAAGGAUUUAGGAAAUCUAAUAAAGAGUAAAGCCUUUUUAUACUCAUGCUUUGUAUUAUGUUCAUGUUUCACUAUUACCUAAUUGAAAUUGCAUUCCAACUUGGAUUUUCAAUUUCUUGACAAACUAUAUAUUCAUUUGAAUUAUGUAAUAUAAAGAUUUUCGUAUCACUAGUUUGUGCUUAUUGGUUAAAAUUCUUUCAUUCUAAUAUAUCAAUUAUAAUAGGCAAAAUGACGUCUACACCCCCUAAAUUUUAGGAAAUGAUCACCAAUACCCUCAAAUUUUUUGAAAAAGACACCAAAACCCUUUAAAAAAUUAAAUUUGAAAUUUUUAAUAAAUAAAAAUAUUAUAUAAAUAAUGUAAUCUAUGCAAUAGACUAAGAAUAUUAAAAUUAUUUAAUAUUUUAAUAAAUUUAAAUAUGUAAAUUGUUAUAUUUAUUUAAUAAUAUAUUUUUAUUUAUUUUAGAUAUUUUAAAUAAAUAUUUGCAUUAAAUAUAUUUUACAAUAAAAAAAAAUAUCACAUGCUAAUGUUAUUAUUAUUUUACAUAAUAUUGAAAAUAAUUUAAAUUUUAAUACACUUUUUUUAACAUUAUGAUUCUAUUUAUUAUAAAAUUUAAAUAUAUAUACUAAAAUAUAUCUAAUAGAUUGUAAAAUAUUAAAAUAUUUUUGAAGUAUUGAAAUUAUUUUACAAUGUAUACAUUAUUACACUUAUUUUAAUGUUAUAUUUCUAUUUAUUAUAAAACGUUAGUGUUGAUUCUUUUUGGGAUAAUAGAGGUUAAAGGGUACUAUCGCUAAAAGAAGGUCUUGGUGUUCCAUUUUGAAAAUUUGAGGGUGUUGGUGAUUAUUUUCUUAAACUUUGGGGGUGUAGAUGUCAUUUUCCCAUUAUAAUAUCUUUUUUUGGCUAUUAUACCUUUUAAUUUUAGUAAUAUUAAAAUUGAUUUUAAAUUUUAAAAUAAAUACAAAUAUAAUAUAAGAAUAAAUAAACAAAAAAAAGUAAUUUUUAUUUUGGAAUUCCAAAUAUCUUGUUUUCAACAUAAGAAGUAUAGUAUCUCAACUAGAUCCUAAAAUAAAAAUUACAGAGAGGAAAUCAGAUUGCUAUUAUUAGACUAUAUAGGGUGCGUUUGAGAUUGAGGUUGAGCAGCUGUAGCUUUUAAGCUAUGUUGAUAUGAUUUUUCACUUGUAUAAUAUAAAAUUUAUUAUAUCUUUAAUAAUUUUAUCAAAAUUAUUAUUUAAAAUUUAUAUUUACUAUAUAUUAUUAACUUUUGUUUCAUAAUUACAUCUUUUUUUUCACAGCAGCUAUAGCUUAAAAGCUACAGCACCUCAAUCCCAAACGCACCCAUAAUAAUAAAAAUUAAUUUUUAUUUUGGAUUUAUUUAAAAGUAAUUGAUCACAAAAUAAAAAAAAAUUAAAACAAUUGACCCAGGGCCAGCUUCGUUCGUCCUUUUAUAGAGAAUUGCAGGUAAAAAUCAUGCCCAGAACACGUUUGAUAAAAUACCCAAUUGGAGGAAUGCAUCCACCGGGUAUGUUGAAGAGCAACGACAUGAUGUAUCUGUUGCUGUAACUUUGUGAUUUCCUAAGCAAUCAGAAUCAAACAGUCAACAACUUUAUGAUUUCCCAGUUAAUCAACAAAGUCAAUUAUGCUGCCACUUUAUGAUUUCCCAGUUAAUCAACAAAGUCAAUUAUGCUGCAACUUUAUGAUACAUCUAUUGCCACAAUUUUUUUUCACGUAGAAAAUUCAAUAAAAUUAAUUUAAUAAUGUACAGGCUCAAACUUGUUGCCGCUUUGCUUGUAGUGCGGGUUUUGGGCUCCUUCAAAUUGCUGGUUGAUUAUGAUUAUUUGGGAGCCAAGCUUUUAAGUCCAAAUAAAUUUUUUAGGAACUUAAACAAGAGGCUUUGGAAUCAAUUUCUUGCAACAUGAGCAUCCUGCAGGGAGUUCCUCCAUAAAACAUUUGUAUGUUGGUUUGGAUCAAAAGGGAGUCGCUGUAUUUAGGGACGACGAAGAACUCGAGAGAGGAAAAGUAAUUUCACCAGGACUACUUACAGUAAUUGAAGAAUCAAGAAUUUUAAUAACUGUUUUCUCAAGAAACUAUGCGUCUUCCACUUUGUGCUUGAAGAACCAAGAAUUUCAAUAAUAUCUUUUAUAAAUAUCAAAGUGAGGAAACAACUAAAUCAUCUUAAAAAGAAAGAAAUCAUAAUUUAUACUUAUUAAAAACAAUUAGAUCAAAUCUCUUCAUUGGCAGCUAACAACAUCAAUUCCAUAUUCAAGUCAGCAAGUUUGGAAAGGUCCAUCCGUUGCUUGGAUUGCUGAAUCGCUCUUUUGGAUAAAUUUUCCGUGCUUUUAAUGAAAGAAAAUUAGAAAAGAAAAUUAUAGAGAUUGAACAAUUAGCAACAUACAAAAAGUUAAAAUUACUAACAAAUGAGCAAUUAUACUUUUCCAGCAAGUGAUUUGUGGUUAGCACUUUAAGCAGCAGCUACAAUCACAAAUAAAAACACAGUUUUUCUAAUCACUCAAUCCGUCAAUAUUAGAGGAGAUUCUGUUCUCUUCUUUGCUGAUUUUGAUUAUAUAUGUACAGUUUUUUUGGUACUUGUUGAGUUGUAACUCAAUGUAAGUACGUCGGUCAUUUUAAUCGGUUUUGUUGGCUUUCUCUCUUCCACAGUACUUUUUCUCUGAAAAAGUAUAGGAAUGAAAGAUGACUUAAGCCCCCGUGGCUUUCUCAAUCACCCACUAGUUGGGUGUUCUCUACAAUAUUAUUUAUGCAACAAAUUUAAUUUCGGUGGUUAGAAAUUUGGUGAGAAGUCUUAUUCAUAGAAUCACAGCAUCUAAUGGAUGCUGAGGAAUUAUUACGCAAGUGUCAGGUGAGUGUUUCAAAAGAAGAGGAGGCAGACAUGGUAACAUUCAUGGGGCGGAUGAAGAUAAAGGGAGAGGAGGUAGCUGCAAAUUGUGUAGUAGGCAAAGUGCUAACAUCAAGAAGUAUAAACAAGGAGGGCUUGAAAGCUGCAAUGCAAAUGGCUUGGAGAACUGUCAAAGAGGUUAAAAUAGAAAGUAUGGGGGAUAAUAUUUUCCUGUUCAAGUUCGCCUCUGAAGAAGAAAAGAAAAGGGUGCUCAUGGGAGGGUCGUGGCAUUUCGACAGAGCAUUGAUAGUUUUGACCGAACCAACAGGGAUUGGAGAUAUCAAAAAUCAAUCUUUUACACAUGCCACAUUUUGGGUUCAGCUUCAUAACAUACCAAUAAUGUGUAGAAACAAGGAGGCCAUCCAACAGCUGGGAGAAAAAAUUGGUACAGUCAAGGAAGUGGAGACAGACGAAGUUGGGGAAUGUAUUGGGCAGUUUGCUAGAGCCAGGAUAUCCAUUGAUAUUUCACAGCCUCUAAAAAAGAUUGUAUUCCUACAACAAGCGGAUGGCAAAACUCCAAUGCCAAUUUUGUAUGAAAACUUCCGGAUUUUUGCUUUUGUUGUGCGCAUAUCGGUCACCAGUACAGGGAAUGCUUGAGAUACAAAGGACAACAAAAGGAGGACUUGCCUUAUGGUGGUUGGAUGCGAGCUGUUACACAAGCUGACAGGAUAAAGCAAAAACGUAGUAGGUAGAAAGGCAAUCGAGAGCAAUCCAAUCCCAAAGAAAAUGUGCAAGCAACAACCAAUCCAAGCUCAAACAACCCGAUUGAUCAAGACAGGUCAAAAUUGAACAAUUCGGAUCGGGAAAUCAGAGAUGGAGCAGAACCAGAGGAUACAAGAAACCUGCUGAUAUCUGACAAAGCACAUUUAAUGUUGACCUCUUCAGAGACGAAAAAUCAGCAAGUGGGGAGUCAGAGUAUGGGCUGUGACAUCGACGAGGUGCAGAAUAGGGUGGCAAGUAAUGAUAGCCACUAUAGCUAUGAAAGUACAAAGGCAGGAGAAAAGAUUUUGAAGGAGAACGAAAAUCCUGUGGAUAAAACAGGAUUGGAAAUAAUAAAAGAUAAAAGGAAGCAGAUUGAAGAGAGUGCCAGAUCUGAUGUGGAAGAAAUGGAUAGUGGGCCAAGCAAGACCAACGCGAAGCCCAAAGCGAGAAAAUGGAAACUUAAGGCAAGAAUUCCAAUAGCAAAAGGAGCGAAGAAUUAUGGGUUAAUAGGAGCAAAAAGACCUAGCAGUGAUGACCAUCAGCUCAGCCCACAACACAAAAAAAUAAGAGUGCUCAGUCCACCAAAACAAUCACACGUGGGAAACCACACAAGCUUAGCAAUAAACUCAGACUACAGCAACCACAUUAGCUCAAACAGAACAGCCCGGCAGCUACAAAUAACAGAAGAGAUAUCAGAUGAAGGGGAAUAUGUGGCAGCUAUGGAAGAAGAAGUAUCGGCGGGUGUUGAAUUUCAAGCCCGCCGACAACCAUGAAACUCUUAAGUUGGAACGUUCGAGGUCUGGGGAAGCCUCGAACGCGCUUAGCUUUCAAAAAAAUUCUCCACCUGCACCGGCCUCAAAUUUUCUUCUGUUGUGAAACCAAGAUGUUGGCUAGGCAGGUUGAAUCGAUUUGUAGAGAUUUUAACUUCGAGAAUUGUUUUGCAGUAGAUAGAACGGGCAUGGGGGGAGGUCUAGCUUUGUUUUGGAGUGCAAAUGUUAAUGUUCGCAUUACCUCAUACAGCCCACAUCAUAUAGAUGCAAUAGUGAGUAGUGAAAGUGGUUUGAGGUGGAGAUGCACCGGGAUCUACGGCCAUCCUGAGUUCAGCCAGAAGCAUAAUACUUGGACUCUCAUGAAAAGGUUAGCCAGCCUAUUUUCCUAUCCUUGGUGCUGUUUUGGUGAUUUCAAUGAGAUAAUGCAUAUGCAUGAGAAAACCAGGGGCAAUGAGAGAAACCUGAAUAGGGUUGCCGAGUUUAGGGAAGCUGUGCAAAGCUGCAAUUUGCAGGAUAUGGGGUGUAAGGGAUAUCCCUAUACGUGGUCAAACAAAAGAUACGGAGAUCAUUUCAUUGAGGAGAGAUUGGACCGAUUUCUGUGUAGUAAAGAUUGGGGGAUUAAUUUCCAAGAAUCUGUAGGCACAGAUCUAGUGAACUGGUCUUCGGACCACUGCCCAAUUAUUCUAGAAUUCUAUGAGCGAAGCAUAAAAUUGAGAAAUGCGGGCAAAUCAUUCCCCCGAGAUUAUUAUGAGGAUAUGUGGAGCUCCCACGAAGGCUGUAAGAGUAUAGUCCAGGAAGAGUGGAGUCGGUAUGGGGCUAGAGCUUGGGAAUCCCCUGUUCAGCAAUUUCAGCGAAUAGCCAAAUCUUCCUUGGCCCAGCUAAAACUUUGGAGCAAAACCGAAUUUAAUGGUAGGCAAAGAAAGCAAGAAAAGCUGAUACAGAGCCUCCAGGAUGCUAUGAGAGGGAAUUCAAAGCUGGAUGAUGGCCAGGAAAUUAGGAGAUUGGAAAGUCAGAUUAACUCUAUGCUAGUUGAUGAGGAGAUUUACUGGAAACAGAGUUCGAGGGCUGACUGGCUUAGAGAAGGGGAUAAGAACACGAAGUAUUUUCACGCCAAAGCAUCUGCCCGCAAAAGGAAGAACAAGGUGUGGGGGAUUGAAAACGACCAAGGCAUUUGGUUGAAGGAAAGGGAUGAAAUAGAGGAGGAGAUUUGCAGCCAUUUCCAAGAGCUAUUCACUACUUCCGGCCCGACUCCAAGCCAAAUCCAAGCAACCCUUUAAGGCAUGCCUGCUAAAGUAACUCCGGAGAUGAAUGUUCAGCUGGAGACGCUGUUCACCGCUGAAGACGUUGAGGAAGCCCUUGCCAACAUGUGUUCCACAAAGGCCCCAGGGCCUGAUGGUCUUCCAGCUGCCUUCUUCCAGAAGCAUUGGAAAUCUGUCCGUAUCGGAGUGAUCUCAACGUGCCUUAAUGUCCUUAAUGAGCAAGGUAACCCAUCUACCCUCAAUCACACUUUCAUUGCUUUGAUUCCAAAAAUUGCAAAUCCUAGGAAAGUGAGUGAUUAUAGACCUAUCAGCCUCUGUAAUGUUAUUUAUAGAGUUGUAGCUAAGGCCAUUGCAAAUAGAAUGAAGCCGAUCCUUUCCCAAAUCAUCUCCCCUAUGCAAAGUGCAUUCAUCCCCAAUAGGCUCAUUACCGACAAUGUUAUUAUUGGUUAUGAAUGCCUUCAUAAAAUAAGGCAUAGCAAAGGGAAGAAGAACGGACUUGUGGCUUUAAAAUUGGACAUAAGUAAGGCUUAUGAUAGAGUUGAGUAGCCUUUUUUGGAACAAACUAUGCUAAAGAUGGGGUUUCCUAGUAAUUGGGUAGCUUUGAUAAUGAGAUGUGUUACUUCCACUUCAUUCUCGGUGCUUAUUAAUGGUGUGCCAAAAGGAAUGAUCCAGCCGGAAAGAGGCUUGCGACAGGGCUGCCCGCUAUCCCCGUACCUUUUUAUCCUUUGUGCAGAGGCUCUCUCCAAUUUGUUGGUUUUGACAGAACAGAACCAGCUAAUCCGAGGUCUCAAAUUUGCGCGGGAAGUUUCAAUUACUCACUUGCUGUUUGCGGACAACAGCUUGGUUUUCUCUCGUGCAUCAGUGGCUGAAUGCAGGCAUUUAAAAGAAAUUUUUGAUAAAUAUGCUGCAGCAUCAGGGCAGAUUUUUAAUUUCUAGAAAUCCUCAUUAUUUUUCAGUGGGAAAAUUCCAGAGCAUCAAAGGGCUGCUAUAAGGGGUAUAUUUAAUCUAAAUGUGGUCUCAAAGGACGAGAAAUAUCUCGGUCUUCCAUCAAUGCUUGGGAGAAAGAAGAUGGGGUUCUUUAAUGACAUCAAACUAAAAGUGUUGAACAAGAUUGCAGGAUGGCAGCAUAAAAUAUUGUCUAGUGGGGGGAAGGAAGUUCUGAUCAAAGCGGCUGCCCAAGCAAUUCCAGCAUAUGCAAUGAGUGUUUUCAAGCUCCCAAGAGGCUUUUGUGAUGAUAUUCAGCGAGCUAUAGCGAAGUUCUGGUGGGGCUCGAAAGGGGAUAAGCGUGGAAUCCAUUGGCGGAAAUGGGAGAAGCUCAGCCAGGCAAAGAUUAGAGGGGGGUUGGGAUUUCGAGAGUUUACUUGCUUCAAUCAAGCAUUGGUAGCUAAGCAAGCAUGGAGGUUACUGCAGUACCCAAAUUCGCUAGUCUCAAGAGUCCUUCAAGCAAGAUAUUUAAGGAAUUCCAGCUUUUUAUGUGCGAAGGCAGGAGCCAAUGCCUCGUAUAUUUGGAGAAGCAUCAUGUGGGGUAGGCAGGUGAUUAAGAAGGGUAUGAGAUGGCAGAUAGGUAAUAGCAAGAAGAUAGCAAUCUUCUUGGAUAACUGGCUGCCAAGACCAGAGACCUUUAGACCUAUCUUCCCUCCAUCAUUGCCUGUAAGCUCAGUUGUUGCAGACUUAAUUAAGGCUGAUAAUCAAUGGGAUGAAAUAAAGCUUCGACAACACUUCAUGGAUGCAGACACAGCAAAGAUCCUCAAGAUUUCCCUCCCAGCUGAGAAAGCAGAAGAUGAAGUGCUUUGGCAUUACGACAAAAGAGGGAACUACUCUGUCAAGAGUGGGUACCAGCUAGCCUUGAGAUCAAAAUUUCCAGAUUCCACCAGCUGCACAUAGGCUUCCAUCAAGUAUUGGAGUGCCCUUUGGACAUUGGAGCUGCCUGAGAAGCUUAAAAUUUUCAUGUGGAGGGCUUCAAAUAAUCUGCUUCCAUCAGCGGAAAAUCUGUGGAAAAGGAAGGUAGUGGAGGAGCCAACUUGUAAGCGAUGCAAAAUAAGUGUUGAGACUAUCAGCCAUGCUCUCUUGGAGUGCAAGGCAGCGAGAAAGAUUUGGCUCCAAUCCCCCUUUUCAGCCCCUAGCUUAGAAGCUAAUUCUCAGGAGAUUUUCAGCACUCUGCAAAAUAUGGCUAAGGAGCUGAGGAAAUCAGAUCUGGAAUUAAUGGUAGCUCUAUGUUGGUCUGCCUGGUAUGCUAGGAACAAAUGUAUCUUCGAUGGCAGGGAGAUUAAUCCUCUUAUCUCAGCUGCUAAAGCGGAGUCAGUAUUGACAGCAUUUCAGAGAGCUAGGAAGCCCCAGCAAGCUCACAUCUCUAUCUUCAGAAAAGCGAAGCAGCAGGAGUGGCUCCCCCCCCCCUCCCCCGGAGAAUUUUUUAAAGUUAACGUGGAUGCUGCUAUUACUUCAAAGAAUCUGAGUGCAGGAGUGGGAGCUGUGAUUAGAGACUCUAAUGGAAAAAUAGUUGCGGCUGGGGUAAAUCAGAACCUCCUAAAGGGGUUAGUUAGCUUGGCUGAAGCAGAGGCGGUGCUUUGGGGCCUUCAGCUGGCAAGAAGUGCGGAUGUAUCCUCUUUGAUUAUUGAGUCUGAUUGUUUAGAGGUGGUCCAGCUAGUGAACAACACCAAGGGCAGCAGAUCAGAUAUUUUUUGGACAAUUCUGGCAAUCUAAAACCAGAUGAAGAACUUCCAGAAUGUUGUUGUCAAUCACAUUCCAAGACAUUGUAAUGCUUGUGCCCAUUACCUAGCUAAGAUAGCUUUGGGGAAAAUCUCUCCCUGUAUGUGGCUGGGAAAUAUUCAGCUGAAUUGUAUGGUAUUCUCAAGGUGUUGUGAUUAAUGAAAGGCUUACUUUCUUUUCAAAAAAAAAAAACUCAAUGUAAGUACACAUUUUUUUCCCCAACAACACAAAAAAACAAUUGCUUCUUCAACUUCUUCUGUUAUCCAUAUGCUAAAAAAAAAAAAAUAAGAACAUUGAAGAAAGAAGGCAUUUAUAUUGUCAUUAAAAGGAGGUUUUCCACUUGUGAUUUCCUUCCAGCCAUUAACGUAAUCCGACAUUCGAUCAUUCCAUUGCAUGACUCGUGAAGAACGGUAGGCUCUUGAAUGCUUUUAUUUUCUUUCAAUUUAAGAGGCAUUUACUUAUAAAAAUCCUAUGCUUUUCCUUAAAACAAAUAUAUUUUCCUAAUUAACUAAAGUUCUCUUAAAGCAAAGUACUUCAUUGGAAUUCAUCUACUUACAAAAAUCCUCUCUAUUUAAGAUUUGCUCAGGUACACUCUCCCAUCAGAUUUAGAAAGUCAAAUUUUCUGAUAUAUUUUAAAAUUUGCAGUAUGAUAUUUUAUUUUCUUUAAAGAAAGGAUAACAUAAAAUUGUGUAAGAUCAAUUAAAGUAGAAAUUUGAUUCAUGCGUAACUAUAACUUAAGUGAUCACAUAAUAGUUGACUUCUUUUUACAAUUUCGACAUGCUUAUUUCAUUUUUUGUGUAGUUUUUAUUUUGUUUUAUUUUAUUUUUACUAUUAUACUCUUGACUAUAGUAAGCCGAAAGUUGAUAUUAUAUUUUAAAAUAAAUAUAAAUAUAUUAUAUUAUUAAAUAAAUAAACUAAAUAUAUUAUAUUUUAAAAAUAAAAAUAAAUUUAUUAUUAAUAUAAAUAAUAUAAAAUUAUUAUUCUUGAUUAUUUUAUUUUUACUAUUCCCUGACUUUAUCACCGAGCGCGCAUCUCAAAUUCAAAUGUUAUUUUGCACAUGAUAAUUCAUUUACAUUCCAUUUAUUCAAAAAUCUGUUAUAAAUCAGUUAAGGGUUAGUGACGUGGCAUUGGUGUCCAUGUUUGUUAACCGUGGUUAGCACUUCAGCAGCAGCUACAAAAUAAACACAGGGUCUGAUUUAUUGUCAAUCUUUAAUGUGUCCGUUUGUCGGGUAGAGCGACGAGUUAAGAGAGUGUUUAUUGAGCUCACGCUCUUCCUUGUCAUUUCCUCUGUGAAUUUUUAUGGGUUUAAAUACUUGAACCUCGGAAUUGAGGCUACAAUGUUUAGUGCACAUAUGUUGAAUAUGAAUAUGAUCGAUCUCAGCUUGAUUUGGGCCCAGAACAAACGAUAAAUAGACAAAGGAAUGAUUAUAUGGAAUUCGCAGGCCAGGUUCAAGAGAGGAGUUGUUGAGGAAUUAUGGUAUAAUUCUCGUGCCUAGGACGUGUUCGAUAAUAUGCCUACGAAGGAAUGUGCAUCCCACCUGAUGUGUUGCAUCAACUCUAUGGUUUCCCACGCAAAAGCAAUCAAUCAACAAGGUCAAUUCGUGAAGGUUUGUCCUGCGUGAGUCAUAGCUAGUGAGCAGAUUCUGAGAGUCUUUAGUCUUUAACAGAAUUUUACCACAAACACAGUGCAAACCCAGUGUUUAUCUAAUCAAUUAUUUUCUUUUUCUAGCGGCUAACCUUUUUGCAAAUUUCUAAAUAGAAAUAUACAUGACAGAAUUUUCAUUAUUUGUUGUUUCAUGAAUGAUGUGGUAGAAUGAAGGAAUUGUAGAAUUUCUUGAGUUUUAGACAUAAAACAGAGUCAGGCCAUGGAAUGAAUGAAAAAAAUAUCAUCACAUUUGUUGGAAUGAUGCUGUGCUUUAUUCAAAAUUAUUUCUUCCACUAGAGAAGCAAUCAAUAAUAGUGUUAAUUCUUGAACCUGUGAAAAGCAAUUAAUUUUCUCCAUUUGUUUACUAGCAAUCUUCCAUAACCAUUGUGCUUGGCUGUGAAAUAGCCUAUUUGUGGCUGAACAUAGAAUCUGUUUUUUGUUUCUUUGUUGCUUUUUGUGAUCUUUGGCUUAAUUUACAAUUCAUGGCAUGUCUGAAAAUGGGUCGAUGAAUAUGUUAAAUAUGGACUCAGAUCUAGAUCAGAUUUAUCCAUGAAACAAUCAAGAGGAUUCAACAUUUGAUUUUUGUUUUUCUUUUCUCCACCCCCAUGUUUAAUUUUGGUCGGAGGACUUGGUUGAUAGGAAUUGACAACAAUUGAUUUUCCUUUUUUUCGUUAAACAAGAGACCACAAUGUCAAUUUGAAGACUUUGUUGAUAAGAAUUGACAACUGUUGGUUCUUAUUAUUUGUUUUUGUUUAAUAGAAGAUGCCUUGGAAUUCCGCAUCGUUGACAUGUAGUUGAUAUUUAAAACAUUUUGAUGUUAGAGCUUAGAAUGUUUGCUGUUGGAAUUCUUAUUAAGAAAAUUACUAUGCUGCUUGCAACAUAAUCAAAGUUGUAAGUUUUAUGCCCUGCAGUUCUCUUUAUUUUCAAUUAUGUUUUUGAAUUUUCAGAAUAAAUAUGAAGAAAAAGAUCAUUAAUUUCCAAAGCAGAGAAGAAAAUAUUUUCAGAAUUAUACUACAAUGACUAUAGGGAGAUCCUGAAAAUGAGAUUCUUGAUGUUCAUCAAAUAAGUUUUGAUGGGUCAAAAGAAACAGAGAAGAAAAUAUUUCUCGAUCUUGCAUGUUUCUAUGAAGGGAAGCACAGAGAUUAUGUGAAAACAAUUCUCAAAUAUUGUGAUUUUGACCCAAUUAUCGAAAUUGUUGGUCCUAUUGACAAAUCUCUAUUAACUGUAGAUGAUUUCGGCGGACUGUGGAUGCAUGAGUAGUUACAAGAAAUAGGGUAGACAAAUUGUUAGGAGGCAAUCCCAUCAGGAGCCUGGAAACUGCAAUAGAUUGUGGGAAAAAGCCGAUAUAUGCCAUGUAUUAUCACAAAGCACAAGUAGAGAUGGCAAAACCCCGGGCCGGGUCCGGGUAUUGCCAUGACCGGACCCUGCCCGGAUGCAACCGGUCCGGGUCCGGGUCUGGGCCGGGUUUUAUCCGGGUACCCGAAUUUUAUGUUUUUUAAUAUUUUAUGUGUAUAUAUUUUUAAUUUUUUGGUAAUUUUAUAAGUUUUAAAUUUAUUUUAAUAAAAUUUGACAUGAAAAUAUAAACUUUAAGUGUUUAAAACUUUAUAUAUGUAUAAUAAAUGAUUCAAAUAAAUAUAAAAUAUUUAAAAUAAUAUAUAUUUUAUAAUUUUUUUUAAUAAAAUCCGGGUUCCGGGUUUAUCAAGUGAUGCCCAAGACCGACCCGGCUUCAUACCCGGGCCGGGUAUUACCCGGCCCGCAACGCCCGGGUACGGUCCGGGUCCGGACCGGGCGGGUAUUUUUGCCAUCUCUAAGCACAAGUAAAUGUUCAGUUAGGUUGAAAACUUGCAAUUUUGGGAUCAUGAUCACUUAUUUAACUAGUUAAACCUUUGCAUAGUUUUAUCAAUAUUUUCUUUCUUUCAUUUUUUUUUUUUUGGUUCCCACUUAUUUUUUGUUAUAAUGUUUAGGAAACUGAUGUAGUUGAAGCAUCAUAUUUGAUUAACAACAAUGAGAUGCAUGUCAGUGCUAAAGCCUUUUCUAAUAUGACCAAUCAGACUUCACAAGAGUACCAAAUUUAGGGGAGCUGAUUUCUGAAAGAUUUACAAGGUUGCAGGAGAUUCACUCAUUUUUUCUGCUUCAAAGAAGCUGAUUCUGUUGAAUUUGAAAGGUUGUACAAGUCUUUCAACUCUUCCAGGCAAGAUCUUUAUGAAAUCUGAUUAAGACACUUGUUCUUUCUGGUUGCUUGAAGUUGAAGAAAUUUCCAGACAUUGUGCAAGUUCUUCCGGAUGGAACUGAUAUUAGAGAACUGUCAUUAGCAAUUGAACUUCUAUUUGGACUUGUUUAGUUGACUCUGAAUGGCUGCAAAAAUCUUGAGCAUCUUCCAAGGACCGUAAGAGCUCUGAAAUAUCUAUCAACUUUGAAUCUUUCCGGCCUUUUGAAAUUCAGAUAGUUUCCACAGAUAACUUCAAGCAGGGAUCAGCUCUUGGAGAUUCAUUUGGAAGGAACUGCUAUAAGAGGAUUGCCAGCAUCUAUUGAACUUCUUUCUGGCAAUGUUUUGUCGAAUUUGAAAGAUUGCAAGAAUCUCAAGAGUCUUCCAUGUAUGAUAAAUGGUUUGAGAUCUCUUAAAUUGUUGUAUCCCUCUGGUUGCUCCAAACUUAAAAAUGUGACAGAGACCUUGGGGAAAGUUGAAAUCUUGGAAGUAAGAUUGUCUUGUUAGAAUCAGGCGAAAAUGCAGAAUGACUUCAACUGUGUGGAACAGAGUGCAGUGGAGACAGUAACAAAGUUAGCAAAAGCAGAAUCGCUAAGGUACUUUACAAAAUUAAUAAUUUCCUUUAUAACAUGCAGUACCGUAUUACUUCUAUGUGCAUUGCUAUCAAUAUCUUCGACCGAAAGAUUCAGAUUCAUGGAAGAAGAAUGUUGAUAAGGGCAUCAAGCUAUCUACAACAGCAAUAUCAGCUUGCUCACUUGCCUGCCAUAGGCUGAUUCAAACCUCAAGAGCCAUGCCGAAGAGUUGAAUCAAAUAACAGCAAAUUCACAUCUUAGGUGGCCUUUUCUUCCAGCUUAGUCACUGCAUCAUUUUUUUUAUAGCAGGUUCGUUCUAUAAUAAUCUCAUAGGCACAUAUCAUGAACUUUGUUUUAUCAUGCUUGCAUACUUUGUUUACUUCUGCACAGUGAUAUACACAUUCACUAUCUCUAUUUUGCAUGACUACUAUAAAUUUAAGUAGAAAUUGAUUUUGGAAUAUGCUCUUAUCCUUUAUUAAUCAUAUAAAAAGUUCAUACGUGAGGGUAUACUAUUUACAGCUGUCUUGCGGAUGGAUUUAUAACCUUACUAAGUAAUAUUAUCAACAAUUUUUGGAUUUGCUGAUUUUAGAGCCUGGUCUUAGAAUCCAUAAUGCAUUGACAAAUACAGAAAUGAUCAAAUUGCUAGCCUCAGUAGUUGCUAUUUAUGUUAUUAUUGAAAGAUGAUUCAAAUUCUUUAUGUAUGUUAGUUUUUGUUUGGGCGGGAAAUUUAAGUUUUAUCUUAGUUGACUCUAUUGACCACCGCUUGUAUCAAAAAAAUCUGAAUACUGGUCGUACGAGUACUAUAUAGCAGACCCGAGGGCAUGCGAGGAGAGACCAAAAUCGAGUCAGAUCGAAGGCUUGAUCAAAGGCCAACACGUAGUUUGUCUCCAAGAAACUCGGGCACAAAGCCCAUUCAGCGGCAGUUACAUUGUCCAUUGACCCAUGAUUUCAAAGACGCAGCACGCACCUUUUCACUUCCAAGCCAACAGUAAUCGUGGGGAAGAUGGAGUCGAUGGUUCAGGUUGGGUAUAAAAGCUACGGAGAAUGGAGGUAAAAAGGGCUGGACAAAUUUUUUUUUUUAAUUUCCAUAUUUUCUCUCUCUUUGACUUUUUCUCUCUCGAUAAUUCUCUCUAUUUAUUUUUCUUCGUUUUGAGAAUUAAGAUUUCUAACUUUCAAUUGAUAUAAUUAAGUAAUGAGUUUGUGAUACAAGUUUUUCUAAAAGAGACCCAAUUACUGACAUGAGCGUUGGAGGAUUUUCGCCAAAAAAUUUUUGGUGCCGCUCUAAUUGGAUAUUGUGAGUAUAGGUGAUUCAACUUAGCGAGUUUUGGUUGAAGCUAUCUACUCGAGUGCGAUAGCCGUCGCACUGAAUCAGCUCCCUAGCAAAUAAAAUUUAAACGUUGGCGCAGAUGGCCUGGUCGCAGUUCCAUCGAUCAGAUUCCUGCAUCAACACCGUCAGGACUCUACCAAGUUUACCUCAAGUUUCCAUCAAGACACAACAUGAUGAUCCAUGUCACAAAUUAUUUCUAAUGUUACGAUUAUAUUUAAUGGAAAUGACUCAGAAAUCUACUUCUAAUAGACGUUUUUAGAUUUAGUCCCGUGUAUUUUAUACAAUUGAAGCUUCCAGGAAAUUUUGCGGUAAUGUCAUAUGAUGUAUUGUCGGUAGACACGAUGAAAAUAAUUAAAAUGUCACUUUUUGACCAAGACUUGCUUUUCGUUUUGUCAUACAAACAAACAACAACAGAGAUGGGAAGAUAGAAUUUGUGUGACGCACAACUAUGCUUUCUCAAUAAAACAGAACUUUAAUUCUCCAAAUAGAAGUCCUCUGCUUUCCCCUGAAUUCCAUUAAGUAGCUGCCUGCUACAGUAAUGAGUUGACUCUAUUGACCACUGCUCGUAUAAAAAAAAUCUGAAUAAUAAACUUACAACUUGUGAGGCUUGUAACCAAAAGAUGCCUAAAACCAAUUAUUUCUAAGAGAAGUGGACAGCUUGAAUAAUAAAUGUACAAUAAAAAAUUUACUUUUGUUGUGAUUUUCACAAAUGGAUUAAAAAAAAAAUGAUUGGCGGAUUGAAUAAUGAAUGUACAAUAAACAAAAAAAUUUACUUUUGUUGUGAUUUUCACGGACGAACAAAAAAGACAAAAGGGAUUAUAAGUGUAUUUAAACGGUCCAUUAGCCUUUAACAUUUACUUUCAAAUCUUUACUUAUCUCAACAAGAAAUUUCUAUAACUUUAAAAAAAAAAAUUAAAGAUUAUAGUGGAAUUCUUCGGAAAGAAUAAAUUCUUGAAAGAUUUUGGUGGAAAUUUUCCAAAAUAAUAAAAUUUUUAAAAAGAUUAUCGUGGAAUUUUUCUAAAAGAAUAUUUUAUUCACUUUGCCCUAUAAAAUGCAAUUACAUUGAGGCCGCCCUUGAUAAAAUACUAAAAGAAAUCAUUGCUUUCCUCAACAUCAUGUCGACCAUAACUUUGAUUCUAUGCACCACUAAAGACCAUGAUCAUGGUUCGUAAUUGCUUUCAGCAGACACUUUUGAUUACACUUUUUGUUUUUGAGAAAUUAAUUAGAGCACAAAACAUUCCUUUCAUUGAUUUCUUUGAAAGAAACUUAGGUCCUCUUAUACUGUAAUUUUUUAGUUUUAAAUUAUUAAAAAAAUUAUAAUUAUAAGAUAAAAAUUAAUAGUAUAUAAUGAAUAUAAUUUUUAAAUAAUAAUUUUUAUAAAAUUAAUAAAAAUAUAAUAAAUUUUUCAUCAUACAACAUAAUUUUUAAGAUAUAAUAGUUAAUACUCAUUAAACACUUUAGUAUUAUAGUUUAAAAAUUACAAUUUCCCAAGCUCAAUUCCAAAUAAAGCCUUAAGUAGAAGAUUAAGUAAAAAUUUACGAUCUUUAUUGCUUCCGAUAAGCUCAAAAAUGCCAGUUAAUUUUCUUACAUUUUUUCAUUUCAAAUAAAAGUAAAAUGCCGAAUGUAUUAAAAUUUGUCAAAAUUUUAUGCUAAAAAUCAUUAGGAGAAAAAUGAUUAUUUUAGCCAUUUUGAGUCCCCCGACAGAUUUUGAGGGAGAUUGGAAUCUUGUGUAAUUUUGCUGUUUGGAGUUAUGAUGCAUCUUUAUCGUCUUUUCUGUUGACUGAACUUGAUUGACCUCUGCAUGCGACCUCAUGUAGGUCCGUCCGCUGAAAUACGGGUUACGUGUUCUUUAAUGGAUCAACUCGACCCGUAUUUGACCCGAUAUUGACCCGCGUUUGGUUGGACCGUAGGAUGUAUGUGACGUGUCUUGUUGGCCGUUGAUCCGCCUUGUGUGAGGGUACUGGAUGGUUGACGUUGUAUCUGGACCACUAUUUUGAUCAUAUUGAACGCGGUCCAAGGGUUCUGAAGCUGUCACGUACUCUGCUACUUCAAACCCUUGUUUAAUUCAAUUUGGUGGAUCCAACGGCCAUUUUCCGCAUCUCUUUAAAAUGUUAAAGCAUCAUUUUAAGCUCUACAGGCCGUCGAGUUCGAGCGAGCUUAUGAUGGGUGUCGAAGCCAACAAAAAUAAAUUCCUACUCUAAAUAAAUUGUGUAUAGUGAUUGAGCAGGGUCGUGUCCACAGAGAUCGGUAAUUAUUUAAAUCCUUUUGAAACGUAAAACGUAAAAUGGGGGAAUUGUUGACAAUAAUAAAAAUAAAAUUAAAAAUAACAAGAAUGCAAAUUAAAGUUGUAAUUCAAAUUGGAGAAAGCUCUGGUUGAAGGAAUUACCUCAGCUUGAUUCGACUACUGAUCAUUGAUUCAAAUAUAGAUUAUUAUUACUCAUGAAUAGACCGGUUAUAGCUACUAAGACCCUCUAAUAGACAAUCUCUCCUUAACUAGUCGAUAACCAAGGUACGACCGUUGGUUAUUUCCCUAAUCAAUAGACAACCCUAGAUACGAUCAUAGAAUUUAAUCAAUUGACAGCCUGAAAAACCAGAGAGACCCAAAUCCUAAUCAACACAUAUGAUGAUUCAUUUAAAUUAGAUUGUUUAUUCUCACAACACAACUCUCUGCUAUGUUAUUUGUCACAAACAUUAAAUUCUUCAUACAAUGAAUCCUUUAAUUGACAAUAGAUUAAGUUGAUAAUUAAAUAGUGGUCAAUUACCUAAUUAACAAACAUAAUCAUGAAAAUAAUUUAGAGAAUAAACAAAUACCCAAAAAGUAAUAAAACAAUUAAAGCACAAGAAAGAUCUCACAGUAGUGAUGAAUCAAAGCUUCAUUAACCUUCAACCAGAAAAAUGAGUUUAGUUCCUCAUAGAGAGAAGAGAAAAAUUAGAUCUAGGGUUUCUUUUUCUCCAAUCCAAAAAUCUCCCCUUUUUCACAAUAGAUUACUCCCUUAAAUACUCUCUCUCUCUUCUCUUUUAGAAUUCUAUUUAAAAUAAAAUACUAAUAUCUGAAAUAUUAAGUUCGUAAUUACAAAAAUAACCAAAAAUACAAAACACGUUAAACUAAAAACUGCAGGUCCGCAGUUGACAGCACGCGCCCACGCCUUAUCAACAAAGUUCUUCUGACGCUCAUAAUUUCUUCAAGAGAACAAUCCUCCUUAAACAUCAUCUUUUAGCUCAAUUUUAUCACCAAUCAAUAGAAUUGCACCUACAAAAGUAAAACACAAGUAAAACAUUAUUAUUAAGUGCAAAACAUCGAUAUUAAGGGAAGUAAACAAUGCAAAACUAGUGCAUAAAUUGCACUCUAACAAAUUCCCCCACACCAAGAUGAUGCUUGUCCUCAAGCAUAUAACUCAAGAUUAAUCCCAAAUCUCCACUCAAUUCUCAUCUCAACUCAUCCAAAAUAAUUUUAAGCAAGCAUACCUCAAGAAAUUAAGUCGAUCAACAUUCGAGAGACAAGGAUUUUAAAGCAUAGAAUCUCAUAAGAUAGAAUAAGAACAUUCAACCACCAAGAAGAUCCAUUCAAAAUUCAAGUGCAACAAGAUGUAAUAGCCCUCUCAAUAACUUCACUCCAUGCACUCAAAGUGUUUAGGGUGUCAUUUAUCCACUCAAAUCAAAUCAAAGAAUGCUAUUACCAUAAGCUUGCUCAUAUAUCACAUCUCAAUCCACAAAACAUGAAUAAAAUGCAAAAAUCUAAGGGUCUUAAAAGGGUUGUAAUGGGGUUAAAUGGGUUAAAUGAAAAAGAAAGGUUUACAAAAGAAAAAGAGAUCAAAAUGAGAAGAAUGAACUCAUUGAAUGAACUUAUGAUAUCAAAAUGCUUAUUUCUACUCAAGUCACCAAGAAUGUAAACAUUUUUUUUUUUUGAUUUUUUUUUUCGAUUUUUCUUUUUCAUUUUUUUUCAUUUUUUUUUUCAUUUUUUCAUUUUUUUUUUGUUUUUUUUGUUUUUUUCGAAUCAAACAAAAGAAACGAACCUUGCACAAUUUAAUUCAAGCAUAAUGCUUGUUGAUCUAAUUGAGAAACUUCAAUACAAGGUAGAAAAAGCAACAAAAUGUACCCACACAAUGAGUCCAAAAAUCUCCUUAAAUUGAGGCUAAAAAAGAAGAAAAAUGGUUAAGUAGACGGAGAGAAUUAGAUGGGUAAUGGUUAAGGCUCAAACAAAGGUAGCAAAUAAAGGUCUUCGGGUAGAGAAAAAGGAAAAUGCGAGAAUAGAAAAAUGGUAAAUGGUUUGCCCUUAUCAUUUUAAUGCCUAAAAUCCCGUAAUGCGGCUUCAACAUGCAUAACAAAGCAAGUUCUAGAAUAAACAAACUAAGAUUGAUAUUCACAUAACAAAAAUAUUAGAGCAAAGUGGUUGCUCAUAGGCUCAAAUCCUCACAAAGUUGGUAAAUUUGCCAUCAAAUCAUGUACACUCUUCAAAUGAAUCAACCAUCAAUAGUGGUGUAGAAUGGGAAGAAGGUAUGAGUGAAGGAAAGGUAAAAAUGAUAAGAAGUGAGAAAGAUGUAUGUAGUAAUAUGAAAAGUGAAAGAUAAAAUGUGAGUGAUGAAAGAGUAUGAUAGAAUAAAAAUAGAUGUAAAUAAUUUGAGAUAGAUGGGAAAAAAGUAGUGAGAAAGAAAAGAAAAGAAAAAUAAUAAUAUAUGAAGCAUACUAACUCCAAAAUCAUUUAAGGAUGAGUAGAGUGAAAAUAGAUGAGUAGAGUGAAAACAAUAAUUCCAGACAUCAAUAAUGCAAAAAUCCCUCCCCCACACCAAGAACUGACAUUGUCCCCAAUGUAAGAUAAUCAAAGCUCACAUAAAAAUUAAAGCGUAAGGAUAAAAGAUUAAGGGCAAAAACUUCCCUGAAUUGUGAUCUUUGAUCCUCAUAACGUCUAUAGGCUUGGCGGGAAUGGUGGGAUAAAUCCCACACUCUUGAAGUAUGCGGCCAAAUUCUGCUCCAUCUUGUCACGGAUUUCGAUUCACGCGCCUGGAAUGCAGGUCGUAGGCUGGUUGCGUUGCGAUUGCUGCUCGGCUGGAGCUUGCUUGAUGGACGCGGGAUGGCACUGAUUGUGUUGCGCGCGCGCGCUGGGGCUGCUGGAUCUGCACGCUGCGUGGGCUGUGUUGCGAGGCGUUGCUGCUGCUGCUUCACGAGGGUGAUUGCUGGAUUGAUUUGUGCUGUGCGCGCGGGCUGGAGCUGAGGAUCUGUGUUGCGGGGCGUUACUGCUACUGCUUCGCGGGAUGUGUUGCGCGCACGGUUGCUGCUGAUUUCGCACGAUGGUGAUGGCUGGGGCUUGCUGCGUUGCGCGCGGCAGCUUUCGCUGGUGGGACUUCGUUGCGCGCUGCUGGGCUGCGAGACACGGGAUGCUGGUGCUGCGCUCACGGGAUGGUGCGUUUUCCGGCGGGCUGGUUUGUUGCAGGUGUGUUGCAAGCGGCUGGAGAAGAAAACAAGUUCUGGAAAAUUAGGGAUUUUGUGAACAGUGAAUAGUGAACAGUGAUUUUCGAUUUUUGGUUUUUUUUUAAAUAAAUAAAUAAAUAAAAAGAAAGAAAGGAAUGAAAAAAAAAAGAAAAAAAAUAAAAAUAAAAAUAAAAUAAAUAAUUUUUUUUUUUUUUUUUUUUAGUGAUGAAUCACUUUGAGACACUAAAAAUUUCAGAAGUACUUUUCUAAUAAGUACGUGGGCACGCCUUAUAAAAAAUUUUCUUCUGACCAAAAUAAGCAAACACAUUAAAUUUCAGAAGUACUUUUCUAUUAAGUACGUGGGCACGCCUUAAAACUAUGUUACUUUAAAAAUUACAGAAGUACUUAUUAGCUAAGACGUGGGCACGCCUUAUCAAAAAUUUUCUUCUGACCAAAAUAAGCACAAUUUUUUUUUUUUGAAUCAAAAUUAAAAGAAGAUAUAACAAAAACCAAAAUAAAUAAAUCAUUUGGGUUGCGUCCCAAAAAGCGCCUUUGUUUUAUGUCUUUGGCUAGACACAUUUAUGCAUCAAUCUCCAUAAUUGGGACUCUCGAGAGCCACAUCCUCCACAAUAUUCACCGAAAAACCUUCAUAAAAAGGUUUUAAGCGAUGACCAUUAACCUUAAAAAUUUUGUCAGAGGUCGGACUCUGAAUCUCAACUGCACCAUGAGGAAAAAUAUUAGUAACAAUAAAAGGUCCAACCCAACAAGAACGUAAUUUACCCGGAAAAAGUUUAAGCUUAGAAUGAAAAAGAAGAACUUUUUGACCAACAGAGAACUCCUUUCUCAAAAUCAUUGUAUCAUGAAAUGUCUUCGUCUUUUCCUUGUAAAAAACUUCCUGCACUAUAAGGUUAAUAACAUCCACAGAAAAUACCGAAUGUUCCUCACUAGGAUAUUUCAUGGCAUCAUUCAUAUUGAAUUCUAUAACCUCUCCAUCAAACUCCAUAGUGAGAGUCCCUUUAUGUACAUCCAUUUUAGUCCUAGCAGUCUUAAGAAAAGGUCUUCCUAGCAAAAUUGGGACAGAAUUAGAGGAGUUAUCAUCUUCCAUAUCAAGUACAUAAAAAUCAGCAGGAAAAACCAACUCAUUAACUUGUACUAAGACAUCUUCUAAUACCCCAUCAGGAUAUGCAUUAGACCUAUCAGCUAGUUGAAUUAUCACGCCAGUUUCUUUUAAUGCACCAAUAUUCAAAGACGAAUAAAUGGAACGAGGCAUGACAUUAAUAGAAGCUCCUAGAUCUAACAUAGCCUUUUCAACUUUGACAUUACCAAUUUUGCAAGGGAUAGUAAACAUACCUGGAUCCUUGCACUUAGGAGGUAGUUUCUUUUGGAGAACUGCUGAAACAUUCUCCCCCAUAUGAACUUUUUCAUCUCCUCUUAAUUUUCUCUUAGAGGUGCAUAGUUCCUUAAGGACUUUAGCAUAUCGAGGUAUUUGUUUUAUAGCAUCUAAUAAAGGAAUAUUUACCUCAACCUUGCGAAAUGUCUCAAGGAUGUCUUUCUCUUGUUCCUCCUUCUUGGAUUUUGCAAACCGGCUUGGAAAAGGAGGAGGUAUCACAAUAGGUAGGGGUUUCGCUCUGGUGGGUUGUGCAUCUUGAGAUUGAGGCAUCAAUUCAUUCUUCUCAAGCUCAUCUUCUACAUGCUCUGUCACUUUCUUACUAGGCUCUUGCAACUCCUUCCCACUUCUAAGGAUGACAGCACUAACGUUUUGCUUUGGAUUCACCUCAGAUUGUGAAGGCAAUCUCUCUAAUACUUGAGACUCCAGGCGGCUCAUUGUAGUCGCCAAUUGACUCAUUUGGUUCUCCAAGUUCUGAAUGCUUGUUGUAGUUGCCUGCUGAAAUUGUUGAGUGUUAGUCGCAAGCGAUUUAACAAUUUCUUCAAGAGAUAUACCUGACUUGGAGGUUGACUGUGGAGGUGCUGGUUGUCUUGGUGGAUACUGUUGUGGGAAUCCUGACGGCCUAACUCCAUAGCUGAAGUUGGGAUGAUCCUUCCAUCCCGGAUUGUAUGUUUGUGCAUAAGGAUCAUACCUCCUCUGAGGCAUGCCUGGAAAUCCUCCAACUGCAUUGGCUUGUUCAACGGGUUCUUCUUGAAGUGUAGGACACAUAUCAGUUGAAUGACCCAUAUUGUAACAAAUACCACAAGUCUUCACCUGUUGCACAUUACCUACAACAAACUUUUCCACAAGAGAAGUGAGUUUAUCUAAACGUUGUUCAACAGAAGAAAUAUUUACCUCAUUCACCUUCCUUGAAGUGGGAUCUUGCCUGCUGCCAAAUUGUUGUGUGUUGGUAGCCAUAUUUGAUAUCAACUCCCUUGCUUGAGUAGGAGUCUUGUUCACCAACACGCCUCCACUAGCAGCAUCUAUCAUACUUCUAUCCAUCAAUGAUAGUCCUUCGUAAAAAUAUUGAAUAAGAAGUUGAUCAGAAAUCUGAUGCUGAGGACAGCUGGCACACAAUUGUUUGAAUCGCUCCCAAUACUCAUACAAAGUCUCCCCAGGAAGUUGUCUAAUCCCACAAAUGUCUUUUCUGAUGUUGGCAGCUCUUGAAGCAGGAAAGUACUUCUCGAGGAACUGCUUCUUCAAAUCAUUCCACGUUGUAAUCGAUCCAGGAGGCAAGUAAUACAACCAGUCUUUAGCUAGCCCAUCUACAGAGAACGGAAAAGCACGCAGCUUAAUCUGCUCUUCAGUCACGCCUUGUGGUCUCAUACUUGAACACACAACAUGAAACUCCUUGAGAUGUUUAUGAGGAUCUUCACCUGAAAAACCAUGAAACUUGGGUAAUAAAUGAAUAAGACCAGACUUUAAUUCAAAAUUUACCUCCAAGUCUACAUAUUGAAUGCAGAGUGGUUGCUGAUUCAAGUCUGGUUCAGCUAACUCUCUAAGAGUUCUUUCUAUAGGUGCAGGUCUAUCCAUCACUUGUUCUUCCGAAUCGCUAGAUGAUUCAACUAAAUCAGGCACCGUAUCUGUUUCAGAAAGCAAAGGCGACGAGGAUCGUUGCUUAGCUCGCUUCGUCUGUUGUCUCAGCUGGCGAGCUGUCUUCUCAAUUUCAGGAUCAAACGAAAGUGUACCUGUACGAGAAGAACGAACCAUACACCAAGUAAAACGUAAAAAAGAUUAAAUAAAUGACACCAAUCCCCGGCAACGGCGCCAAAAUUUGAUGGGUGUCGAAGCCAACAAAAAUAAAUUCCUACUCUAAAUAAAUUGUGUAUAGUGAUUGAGCAGGGUCGUGUCCACAGAGAUCGGUAAUUAUUUAAAUCCUUUUGAAACGUAAAACGUAAAAUGGGGGAAUUGUUGACAAUAAUAAAAAUAAAAUUAAAAAUAACAAGAAUGCAAAUUAAAGUUGUAAUUCAAAUUGGAGAAAGCUCUGGUUGAAGGAAUUAGCUUAGCUUGAUUCGACUACUGAUCAUUGAUUCAAAUAUAGAUUAUUAUUACUCAUGAAUAGACCGGUUAUAGCUACUAAGACCCUCUAAUAGCCAAUCUCUCCUUAACUAGUCGAUAACCAAGGUACGACCGUUGGUUAUUUCCCUAAUCAAUAGACAACCCUAGAUACGAUCAUAGAAUUUAAUCAAUUGACAGCCUGAAAAACCAGAGAGACCCAAAUCCUAAUCAACACAUAUGAUGAUUCAUUUAAAUUAGAUUGUUUAUUCUCACAACACAACUCUCUGCUAUGUUAUUUGUCACAAACAUUAAAUUCUUCAUACGAUGAAUCCUUUAAUUGACAAUAGAUUAAGUUGAUAAUUAAAUAGUGGCCAAUUACCUAAUUAACAAACAUAAUCAUGAAAAUAAUUCAGAGAAUAAACAAAUACCCAAAAAGUAAUAAAACAAUUAAAGCACAAGAAAGAUCUCACAGUAGUGAUGAAUCAAAGCUUCAUUAACCUUCAACCAGAAAAAUGAGUUUAGUUCCUCAUAGAGAGAAGAGAAAAAUUAGAUCUAGGGUUUCUUUUCCUCCAAUCCAAAAAUCCCCCCUUUUUCACAAUAGAUUCCUCCCUUAAAUACUCUCUCUCUCUUCUUUUUUAGAAUUCUAUUUAAAAUAAAAUACUAAUAUCUGAAAUAUUAAGUUCGUAAUUACAAAAAUAACCAAAAAUACAAAACACGUUAAACUAAAAACUGCAGGUCCACAGUUGACAGCACGCGCCCACGCCUUAUCAACAAAGUUCUUCUGACGCUCAUAAUUUCUCCAAGAGAACAAUCCUCCUUAAACAUCAUCUUUUAGCUCAAUUUUAUCACCAAUCAAUAGAAUUGCACCUACAAAAGUAAAACACAAGUAAAACAUUAUUAUUAAGUGCAAAACAUCGAUAUUAAGGGAAGUAAACAAUGCAAAACUAGUGCAUAAAUUGCACUCUAACAGCUUACAAGUGCUAAGGCCAAAAAAUUAAUCUUGGGGAAGAAUUUAAUGAGUGACUUCUUAUUUUUAUAUCCUUAAAAUUUAUUUUUAAACCCUAGAUUUUGGAGAAAUACUUUUCUUAAGGGCUGGAAGCAAAUGUUUUAGAUUGGAAUUUGAAUGAGUGCAAACUAUGUUAUUGUCAGACAUCAAAAAUCAAAUUAGCAUUUAUUUUCUUGUCUUGUCUUUAGCUCCAUCAAGUUCGUUGAUGCAUGGUCUUUGAAUUUGAAGGUAUUAAAUCCAAAAUGGAUUCUCUCACAUCCAAUAUCAUUUUACUCUUAAAUUUAUCUAGUGAGCAGAUUUUGAUGCUUGAUUCAAGUAGAAAAACAAUUGUGAGGACUGUGAGGAUUUUUUUUUAAAUUAAAAACCGCCUUAAGAUGGGGUGUGGGUUUAGGCGGGACCCCUUCAUUAGUAAAUUAAUAAAAGAAAAGAAAAUUCAUAUGGAGAGAGAUAUAUGCCAAAACCUCGAAGCAUGGAAACAAAUACAUCCAAUAACUAGAAAAAUAACAAAAGCAAUAGAAGAUAGGACUAAUUAAUGCAACCAUCUAGAGAAUCGCUUCCAAUUCCUGCGGCUAGUAACCAAUGUGAAACCUUUCUUAGAAUUGGAGGCACGCGGUCCGGUCCGGCAAUACGAAAGUCAUCAAGAUCAUGCCCUCUAGUACCCUUAGGCUCAAAUGCAAAAUAUUCAUUAGUCACAGGAUUCCCAUCAGAGCUAAACUUCUCAUCAAAUUGAAAAAGGAUAUCUGUAGAAUGGGGAUUGAAGCCCACGAUCAUGGAGCGAAUAUCCUCUUCAGUAGCUCAAAAAAAAGUAGCAUCGAUGGAAGCCCUCUAAACACCUGGAUCAUCUAAAAAAGGAGGGUUAGAGACCUCAGUGCAUCCAGUAGCAUCUCUUAAAGCAGUAGGAUUCUUCAAACCAUCAUCAGUUUGAACUCUUUUCAUAGAAACCAGAUCAAACCCAUCUUCUGUAGUAUCCUGAUAAAUAGGUGACUGAGCAUCUAGAAGAGCACCCUCACUACCAUUCGACCUCAAUGGCUCAACCUCUUUGCCAUCCCCUUUGGAUGCACAAUAGCAUUAGACAUCAGCAUCUUGCCUUUAUCAUGAAGAACAAUAUCCCGCACCUGAUUAACUGGCUGCCAGGGCUCUCAGAGCCCAGGAUUGGCAACAAAAAAAGUAUCAGUAGAGUACCCAAGAUGCUUACACGAAGCAUAGUAUAAAGGAACACGCUCAAAAAUGACAUUCUGCCAGAAAAUGCCAUCACCUUCACUAGUCCAAAGUUUGGGCAACAACGGCCGCAAAACAUCCAACUCAAUCGGAACUCUAGUGAUCGAGGGUUGAUUAACAACAACAGUAGCAUGGUCCAUCCGUAGAGGCUUACCAAUAGCAUUAGCAAUAGAAAAUAAGACAUCUUUGCAAUGAAUAAAAUGCACUUGCAAAUACGGCAAAGAAACUCAAGUAAGAAGAAUAGGAGAUUCCUCAAAGCACCAAAAUGAAGUCUAUGAGACUACGCUACAUGAGACUCAAACACAAAGGCCUAAUUCUUGGUAAGGCUGCCCACCUAAAUCCACUUGGAAAAUGUUCAAACAUACUUUUGAUAAUGUAUUUUAGUCUGUGAGGGUUGACACAAUAGAAUUUGGAUUCGAGAUGUUUACGGUUGCGAAGCUUCUGUAAGUGUUCUUGGUCCAUUGUAAACUCACAUUAUUUUCAUAGUGAAUUGUUUCGUCUACAAGUGGACAUAAUAACAUGUCGAGAUUUUUAUCCUAAAUCGCGAGGAUCAAAGGUUUUCUUGUAAAAACAUCUAUGUGUUGUGGAUGUCCAUUUAUUUUGCAUAUUUAUUUUCAUUACCAUAAAUUGAUUUUUAAAUUUAUUGAUAGUGUUUAUUAAAUUAUCUUUAUUAACUAGGAAAUAAAAUCAUUAAUUUUAAAGAGAUUAUUAUUAUUAUUACCAAGUAUAUAAAGAUAAUGAAAUAAAAAAAUAAAACUAAUAAUAUAAAUAUUUACUUUAGUUAUCAAUUAUUAUAUAUACACACAAUUAAAAAUAUUUUAUAUACAUACAUUAUAAGUAUGAAAAUAAAUUUUAUUCAAAACUAUGUCCAAUUUAAUCAUUUAUAUUCUUGUCAUUUACAAUCUUAUUAUAAUUUAAUAGUAAGAUUUACCAAAUACAUAGAUUGUUUUUUAAACUCACAGAACUUUUGAAAAAUUGUAUCAAACGUUUAAUUGGUUAUCUUUAUAGUUGACUAUUUUUACAGUACAGUUAGCAGUAAUUAUUUUAAAAACUAUAAUAUUAACAAAAUGAUCCAACAUCUUUUAAGGACCCAGCUGAAAUUUAACUAAUACAGGUUUACCAUUACUAUAGAUUGCCGGUAGUUUUAACUAUUUUUAAUUAAUUAUUAAUAUCAACCGUUGGAUUCCAUUCCAUUCUAAUGGAAUCCAAUGGCUUCAGCAUGGGUGAUGGGCAGAGUGGCAUGGACGCGUAAUCAAUUGAAAAGCCAGAUAUUCUUCGCUUAGAUUCCUUGAAGCUUCCAGCAAGCUCGAUGCUAACUCCAUCGUGUGAGUAAUCGAUUGAAAAGCCAGAUAAUUUUCAUUUAGAUUCCUUGAAGCUUCCAGGAAGGUUGAUGGUAACUUCAUCAUUAGAGUAAACAAAGACGAUAUUUUUGAAGCAACAAAUAUGUUUCACUGAUUAACUUAGCUUUCUUUGAAGCAACACUUCAAUGAAAUUCAACAGGUAGCUGCCUGUGCAAUUAAUACACUCAAAGCUUUAAGAUUUAUUUUAAGUUUUAUCUUAUACAUGUUUCUCUCAAAUACAAGCUUUUAGCGCGGCAUGCAAAAUACACCCCGUUUAAAUCUAAUCACACCUCUCUAAUUUUUUUUUUUUUCGCCCCAAAGACGUAAUGGAGUAGUCAAAGGGUAUAACCAUUAGAUUCCUUUCGCUUUUUUGCUUUUUUCACCCCCACUUUCUGAGAAGACCAAGACUUGCUUUUGGAAUACAUAUAAAUAAAUCCGGGGGAGCUGGAAGUUGCAUUUUUGUUUUCCCUUUGAAUCAAAACACUUCAUCGGAGUUGAUCAGAUCAAUUAGGUGGCUUCUUUCAACACACUCAAAGCUGUAAGUUUUAUUUUAUCCUCAGAAUUAAUUUGCACAUUCUGGAUGUUUAGAACAGGAAAUAUAUAAAAUUGAAAGAAAGCUUUGAAUGUUUAAAUUAAUUUGUAUAGUAUCAACUCUUUAAUUUGCUUCUCUUUGAGGCUCUAAUUAAGAUUUGCUUGAGCAAAGGUCGGCAAACACACUCUCCAAUCAGAAUCUGAAAAACUUUUUAAUUAUAUUUUGGAAGUAAAUGAGAGGCUGUUAAUUAGUUUGUUUAGUUAAGAAGAAGAUCAUUAAUUUGUUGUUCAAUAAUUUUAUGCUAAAAGAAAUUAUCAUAGUAAUUAUAUUAUUUUCAUUUUUGUGCUGCCCAUAAUCUUGAAUGAAUCUUAUUGUUUGCAUGGUAUUUUACGCUCACUGGAUUUCACUUGAUUUAUUCUAAAUUUUUAGGAACAAAUUAAUAUAAUGGCUUCCACGAGCUUCCAAAAUGUCUCUCAUGGGGAAUACGAUGCCUUCUUAAGCUUUAGAGGAGAAGACACCCGUAAAAUGUUCAUAGGUCAUCUCUAUACUGCCUUGAACAAUAAAGGAAUUUAUGUAUUCAGGGAUGACAAACAACUUGAGAAAGGAGGAUCCAUUUCACCAAAUCUCCUUAAAGCAAUUGAAGAAUCAAGAAUUUCAAUUAUUGUUCUCUCAAAAAAUUACGCUUCUUCCACUUGGUGCUUGGAUGAACUUCUUAAGAUUGUUGAAUGCAAAAAUAGAGAGGAUCAAAUUUUUCCAAUUUUUUAUGAAGUGGAACCAACUGUUGUAAGAAAACAAACAGCAAGUUUCGGAGAAGCUUUUGCUAAACAUGAAGAAUUUUUCAGGGAUAAUAUAGAAAAAGUGCAAAAGUGGAGACACGCUUUAAAGGUGGUGGCCAAUAUAUCAGGCUGGGAAUUGAAGGAUAGGUAAUCAUUCUUUUUCUCAACUAUUAAUUUUGUUCGUUUUGCAAGAUUAGUAACUACAAAACAGAUUUUAAUAUUCAUUCAACACUGUUUUCAAUUAAACAACUUCUAUUUAAUACAUAUGUAUAUCGUAUGAUGUGUAGUAAAAGGGUUCCUCCCGUGAAUUGAAUAUCUUUAAAAUAUACCUUCACUUUUGAAAACUUCAAUUUACCUCCCAUUUUUGUUAAGAAUACAAAAACAUUUCAUCAACUCACCCCAUUUUUCCUUCUCUUUUGAACAAAAAUAGGGUAAUUGAGGUGUUCAAAAGGGAGUGAUUUGAAGAUAUAUAAAAUUUUGAAAUUACCAAUCACAAUGCAACCCAGUCCAAUCCAAUUUUUAUUGGGUUGGGUUUGAAUUUCUCAUUCCAAUUGUUGUUGACUGAUGUAAUAAUAACAUAUUGUUUAAUUAUAUGACUUCAAUUUGAUGAAAUGAAUAUUGCAUAGUUUGGAUUUUAUUCAUAAUAUGGAAUUGAUUUGUUACUACGUUCAUACUAACUUUGAUUUAACAAUACCAAUCUUUUCUUGUUGUUUUCAAUCUGCAGGAAUGAGUCAGAAUUUAUUGAGGAAAUUGUCAAUGUCAUAUCUAGUAAAAUUCGUUCAGAACCAGAGAUUCUUAAGGAGCUAGUAGGAAUGGAAUCACGCUUGGAGAAACUGAGGUUUCUUAUGGGUACGGGGUCUAAUGAUGUUCGUAUGAUCGGGAUAUGGGGUAUGGGAGGUCUAGGAAAGACAACUCUUGCAAGGGUUGUUUAUGACUUGAUGUCUCAUGAGUUUGAUGGGAGUAGUUUUCUUGCCGAUGUUAGAGAAAAAUUUGAAAAAGAAGGCAGUGAAAUCUCUUUACAAAAACAGCUCCUUUCUGAUUUACUGAAGCUUUCAGAUUAUAGCAUACAGAAUGUCUACGAUGGUAUUAACAUAAUUGGAAGUAGGCUGCAACGGAAAAAAGUUCUUCUCAUAAUUGAUGAUGUGGCUGAUGUUGAACAAUUACAAAGGUUAGUUGGAAGGCGUGAUUGGUUCGGUCCAGGCAGCAGGAUUCUAAUAACAACGAGAGAUAGACAAUUGUUGGUGGCACAUGAAGUGGAUGAAGAGCAUAUUCUUGACCUUGAUGUACUAAAUAACGAUGAAGCUCUUCAACUCUUUAGUAUGAAAGCUUUUAAAAGCCAUCAGCCUAUGGGAGAAUAUGUGGAGCUGUCUAAACGUGUUCUGGAGUAUGCUGGUGGUCUUCCAUUAGCUCUAAAAGUUUUGGGAUCCUUUCUAAUUGGUAGAUCUGCAGAUCUAUGGAGAAGUGCCCUAGAAAGACUAAAAAAAGAUCCUUCAAAUAAGAUUAUGAGUAUACUUCAAAUAAGUUUUGAAGGACUACAAGAUUCAGAGAAGAAAAUAUUUCUCGAUGUUGCAUGUUUCUUUAAAUGGAAGAAUAGAGAUUAUGUAACAAAAAUUCUAGAGGGGUGUUGUUUUUCCCCAGCCAUUGGAAUAGAAGUUCUUAUCGAAAAGUCUCUAUUAACUGUUGAUGACGACAACAUACUGCAUAUGCAUGAUUUGUUACAGAAAUUGGGACAACUGAUUGUUACGAGACAAUCCCCCGAAGAACCUGGGAAACGUAGCAGAUUAUGGAAGAAAGAAGAAGUACGCCAGGUGUUGAUAGAAAACACAGUAAGUGAAUUAUUAAAUGAAAAACUUGUUGAUGCUUGCUACUUUAUUUUCCCCAAUUAUAUCUCUGACCAAAUUUUCAACAUCUUUACAUUAUUGUUUUAUUCACUCAUCCUUUGCUUAUAAUCUUUAGGGAGGUGAAGUAGUGGAAGGAAUAAUAGUUAAUGCCUACUUUCCUGAAGAUGAGGUUUACUUAAGUGCAAGUGCUAAAGCAUUUUCGCAGAUGACCAACCUAAGACUGCUCAAAAUCAGUAAUGUGCAACUUCCUGAAGGUCUAGAAUACCUCUCUAACAGGUUGCGAUUACUUGAUUGGCAUCGGUAUCCUUUGAAAUCUUUGCCAUCAAAUCUGCAAUUGGAUAAAAUUGUUGAAUUUAAAAUGUGUUACAGCCGCAUUGAAGAAUUAUGGAAAGGAUUCAAAGUAAGAUCAAUUUUUUUUUUGUCACAAAUUUAUAUUUUUCAGAGAAUAAUUGUGGAUAACAAUUUUAUUAUUAUAGUAGUAUAUGAAUUAAGAAAUAUCAUUUUAGCUCCUUUUUUGUUUUCAACAACCUUUAAACAUGUUGAGAGUCAUGGAACUCAGCCAUUCAGAGAAUCUGAUUAAGACUCCAGACUUCACAGAGGUCCCAAAUUUGGAGGAGUUGGAUGUUGAAGGAUGUACAAGGUUGCGUGAAAUUCACCAGUCUUUGCUACGUCACAAUAAGCUGAUCUUGUUGAAUUUGAAAGGUUGUACAAGUCUUACAACUCUUCCGGGUGAGAUAUUUAUGAAAUCGCUUAAAACACUUGUUCUUUCUGGUUGCUUGAAAUUGAGGAAACUUCCACGCAUUGUCGGAAGUAUGGAGUGUCUACGGGAACUUCUUUUGGAUGAAACUGAUAUCAAAAAACUGCCUUUAUCUAUUGAGCUUCUAUCCAAACUUGUCUUGUUGAAUUUGAAGGAUUGCAGAAAUCUAGAGACUCUUCCAAUUACUGUAAGCAGCUUAAAAUGUCUAAGAACUCUAAAGCUCUCUGGUUGCUCGAAAAUAGUGAAAUUUCCAGAGACUGUGAUAAGUGUGGAAGAUCUGUCAGAGCUCUUUUUAGAUGGAACUUCUAUCACAGAAGUGCCAUCAUCUAUAGAGCUUUUGACCAAACUUCAAUGGUUGAAUUUGAAUGACUGCAGAAGUCUCGUGAGACUUCCUAGCAGUAUAAAUGGUUUGAAAUCCCUCAAAACUUUGAAUCUCUCAGGCUGCUUCAAACUCGAAAAUGUGCCUGAGACGCUUGGGCAAGUAGAAAGUCUGGAAGAACUUGAUAUAAGUGGUACAGCUAUAAGGCAACCUCCAUCGUCGAUUUUUCUUAUGAAGAAUCUUAAAGAACUAUCUUGUCGUGGGUGCAAAGGAUCACCAUCAUCUGCAUCAUGGUUUCUGCGCUUCCCUGUCAAUUUGAUACGAAGGAGUUCAGAUCCGGUGGCUUUGAGUUUGCCGUCUUCUCUGUCAGGUUUGUGUAGUUUAACGAAAUUGGAUAUCAGUUACUGUGAUCUAGGGGAAGGAGCAAUCCCAAGUAGUAUUGGCGACUUAUGCUCAUUAGAAAAGUUACAUCUGAGUGGAAACAGUUUUGUUUCGCUACCGGCAAGCAUCUACCGUCUUUCUAAUCUUCAGGGGAUUAAAUUAGAGGAAUGCAAAAUGCUUCAAAAUCUGCCUCGACUUCCAGCCAGUAUACGUUGGAUUUCGUUAGACGGUUGUGUUUCGUUGGAAACAUUAUCAGAUGUAUUAAAUUUAAACGAGCAUCGACUCCCGCACUUAGGCCUUCAUUGUGUGGAUUGCUCGAAAUUGGCUGGCAACUAUGAUUUGGCGCUUUCGCUGCUAAAAGAGUACAUUAAAAAUUCUGAGGUCAGUCUCUCACUCUCACCUGUGCUAACAUUAUGCCUAAAACUGAUGCAAUACAUGUUAUGUCUUUUUAUUUUAUUUAUUUACUCACUUUUUUUUUUGUGGGGUUGCAGAAUAUGUCAUUGUCGGACAAGUACAUUAAACUGAGAGAGGUCAGUUUCUUACACUGUCUCUCACCUGUUGCUAAAAUCAUGCCUAAAAAUUAUGCAUUGGUUUGGCUUUCUAAUAUAUAUAUAUAUAUAUAUAUUUGUGGGGUUUAGCAUUGUUGGAGAGGUUUUAGCAUUGUUGUUCCUGGAAGUGAAAUCCCAGAGUGGUUCGAGUAUCAGAAUAAUGAGUGAUAUGCUAUAAGGCAACCUCCAAAGACGUAUAAGAAUAGUAAGCUUGUGGGAUAUGCUAUGUGCUGUGUUUUUCAUGUCCCUAAAUAUUCACUUCCUUAUUAUCAUCCGAACUUUCCAUAUCCCGUACAUUAUCUGUGUGGCUGGCAUACCGACUGGUAUGGUUAUGGAAUUUCGUUUGGAAAGCAAUUCGGUCAGGCUGUGUCGGACCAUCUUUGGCUAUACUACCUGAAUAGGGAAGAGGUGUGGCGAUACUACCAUAAUAUUUAUAAAGUGAAAUUUUCUUCGCCGUCGGUAUUGGUGCUGAAGAGGUGUGGUGUCCAUCCAAUUUAUGUGCAUCAAGGGGAUAAGUUCAACCAAACAACUGAUCCGGUUUGGAAUUUGAACGAAUUUGGUCACGAUUGUUCAGGAUCAACAUCCUUUACGCGUAGCCUUAAUGAUGACUUAGACAGGGCAGAAGGCAGUGGAAGUUGCUGCGGGGAUGAUGCAGGAUCAACAACGUCGUCUGAGCGAAGCUUUCUAAAGCGAAGUCUUGAAGAAUAUGUUGGGGCGGCUGAAGCUAGUGGAAGUGGCUGCUGUAAUGAUGAUGAGGAACCACAACCUAAAAGAUUUAGACAACUUGAAUGAAGGGCACAUAUUUUAUUUUUCUCUGCAGAUCGCAUUUCAUUUACUUUCUUUGUAUUUAUUUAUUGUAUCUGUUCUUGUUACUUAUUUCCCUGUUAAAUUACCAGAAAAUGCCUGGCUUGGGUCAAACAGUUGGACAGAUGUUUUAUUACUCUGUUUUUCCUGCAAAAGAUGCCGUACAUAGAUGCGGUGAGCGCGAGUUGUUUGGUAUACUUGAAGGGGCUCGGGACCACAAUGACCAAAUUAUUUAAUGUUGUGUGUUAAAUAUUAAAAUAUGCGGAUAGCUUAUCACUUUUGAGACCUAAAAGUAUUUAUUUAAUGUUAGGGUGAUUGAAAAAAAAUUGACGAAUUACCAUUAAACAAGCAACAAAAUAACAAAUUCUUUGAAAAGAAAUUAUAUAAUAGAAAGAAGAAAUUCUCACCCGAAAACAGUUUGCAGGCAACCUACCAUUGAUAUGAACAAUCAGUUAUAAAAUUAAGCAAAUAUAAAACGGAUACUCAAAAAUUCUUAUAAAAUUUGUUUUCUUCUUUUAGUAGUUUGAGGAAUGAAGAUGGUAUCUUUUUUUUUUUUUUUUUGUGUUUUAAGGGAAGACGGUACCUAGAUAUUGAUAAAAGAAAAAUCCUUUAGAGUCGGGAUAAAAGUCUUACCAUCAAUAAUAGGAGUUAAAUAUGAGAAUCAUCACCCUUAAUUUAAGUUUAAAAGGUAAGUAAUUAUGCAACAAGUCAUUUAGAAGUUGUGGUACUUUUUCAUACUUUAAAUUAUUUUUGUCUAGUCAAUUAAAUAGAUAUUUUUUAAGUCGCCAAAAAAAUAAAAAAAUAUUUUGAAAUUAAAAAUGAUAGGUGCUAUCUAUAGUUUUACAAUUUUGCAGUUAGUGGUAGAAAUAUAAUAGCAUUGUAACAAAUAUAAUUAGCUAGUAAUAUUAUUUCAACAAUACUUUAUAUAAAGAUAUUCCAUAAGGUCUUAUAGCAAUUUAUAUCAUAAUUAAAUGUUGUAUGAAUUUAAUUGUAAAACCAUUAGUACUUGAACAAUAAUGAUUAUAGAAGGCAUUGUAAUAAGUUAUUUAAUACACAUUAUUAACAAUACUAGAUGAAUCUGAAACAAAUGAGAAAUAUUUUCAUCCAUAACUAGAAUUGAAAAAUGUAUGUGUCUAUAUAAUUAGACAAUAGCUUGGAUAUAUAUUUUUAGAGUUAAAUUAGAAAAAAGGACACCCAGAAUCCCAGAUAUCUCUAACUCUGUAACUCCUUUCUUUGAAAACCAAGAAAAAAAAAAAUGUUCCAGUUUGCCUUUAGCCUCUCCUCCCAAGUUGUCGGGCAUGGACUUGCUUUCGCUUCCGAAAGGAAAAAAUAAAAUAAAUAUAUGUAUAUUAAAAUAUUUUUAAUCUUCAAAAAAUAUUUUAAUACUGUACAGUAUUAAAUUAUAUUGAAUUAAAUUUUAUAAUGGAUAUAAACAGAAUAUUAAAAUAAAUAUAUAAAGAUUCGAAUUAUUUUAAAUUUAUAUAAAAUAAUUUAAAUAUUAUCGAUACAUGAGAUUUUUUUAUUAGUUGUAAAAUCUAUUUAACCCAAAUAUUUAUUUUAAAAAAUUUAUAUAAAAUAAUUUUAAUAUUAUCAAUAAAAAGAUAUUAUUAAAAUAAUAUUAUAAUUUACAUUUUAAAAAUUAUUUUAUACAUAUUACAAAUAUUCCAUUAUUUUUAGUCUAUUAGACAAAAUAAACUACUUAAAGUAUAUUUGUAUUUAUUAAAAAUAUUUUAACGUUAAUUUUUUUUAGUUACUACCUAUGAAGGGUAUUAUAGCCAAAAGGGAGUUUAGGUAUCAUUUUCCUUUUAAGUUAUUUUAUCUUAAAUUUUUAAUACAAAAUUGAAAUUAUUGAUUUCAUGCAAAUCAAUUACUAUGGUGGAUGAUUUAACAUCGUAAAAUUUUACAUUGAUUUUCAAUAUCAACCAUUAGAUUGAGAGAGAUUAAUGGCUCAUUUUUUGCGUCAAAAUUUAAGUUAAAAUAUCCCAAACCAUGCUUUUAUAACGAGAAUAUAAAAUAAAUAGAUAAUAUUUUUCCUGUUCAUUCCCAUGAAUAUUAUUGGAGGUAAUAUUUACUUAUUAUAUUAAUUACCAUCAUAAAAGCAAUCAGCCUUUUAGUGACAUAAAAUUUUGUAACCACAAUCAAUGAAUAUUAACAAAACAAUAUUUCAUGAUUCAUAAAUUAUAACUAAUUAAGAAUAUAUGUUAAUUUCAAAUUUAUGAAAUCAACAAAGUGACAUUGGAAAAUUAAAUGAAAAUAGGCUUGUAAAACUUAAAUUUAUAUUCCUACCAUGUAAAAGUAUUCACUGUAACAUAAUCCCUAAUUUCAUGGUAUAUGUUGUGCUAAAUUGGUGUUAAAAAUAAUAUACACUUCAUGAUUAAUCACACAAUGGUCCUUAAUAAUAUACAAAAUAGUGAGCAUUAUGUUAAAUUUUAUUAAAGCGUGAAAAAGGUGAAGAAUGACAGAGGCAGCGGCCGUAGACGGUGGACGUGAGAUAGCUUCGGGUUUUGAUAUUUUGCUGACUUUUUCUUCUUUUUUUUUAAUGAAAGUAAUUGAUGAUGGAGGGAGGAUUUGUGUAUGGGGAAUGGUUGAUGGUCAGGAAAGCUCUGCCUAAUACAAAGAAAGACUCUGAUGCCACUUGACGCAUUGCAAAAGUGAUACUAAAUUUCAUUUUAAUGUACGUUCUUGAAAAUUCAAGAAAGAAGGUUAUCACGAAGAAGAAAAUAUAUCAAUUAAGAAAUAUUAAAUAUUAUUGAUGAGAAACUUAUAUGUUAUAAUGAACUAUCAGUAACAAGCCUAUAUAUACUAAGUAGCCAACUUAAUCUUAAUCCUUCUUAAAUAAGAGAAAUAAUCUAAAAUUCUAAUUAGAUUAGAAUUCCAAACAUGAUCGAAUAAGUUUAAAAAAUAAGAUAAAUUCUAAUAAAAUACUAAAUACCCAAAUAUUAUAAUUCCUAAUAAAUUCUAAUUUAUUUUAUCUAAUAUGCUUCCUAUAUUACUCCAUCGCUAUGUUGUCUGAAUCGAUGUCUCUUUUUAUCAAUAAAAAACGCUUACUCAUCAUCCUUUACUAAGGCCCCACUCAAUUGCUUGUCAAUUACUCCUUGAUCAGCAAGCAAGUUUUCAAAUUUCUCAAUGGUUGGUUGAGUUGGACAACCUUAGAUAGUUGUAACAAAGCUCUUAAGCUCAAGCCUCAAACCAUUGACAAUAAUUCUCUUUAUUCUAGAUUUAGAAAUUGUAGCAACAGAAUCCAACCCAUAAAUUUCACAACAUAGGGAUUUUAACUUGUUUAAGUACUCGUCAAUCGUCAUGUUUCAUUGUGAAAUUGAUAGUAGCUCAUUUUUCAGAAGUUGUAGCCAUAUGUUAUUCUUCUUUGAAAAACUCAUUGUAGAAGUAUCCCUAGUUUUCUUAGGUAUUUUAACAUUUUUUAUGUGUUGCAGCAUUUCUUCUUCAAUUGUAGUCUUGAUGGCGAACAUGGCCUUCUAGCUAUAAUGUUCCACUUCUUUAAAGUGGCAUCCUCAGUUGGUGGUUGCAUAUCGUUACCACAAACAAUCUCCCAGAGAUCUUGACCUUGUAAGCAGGACCCCAUCAAUGUUGCCCACGUAUUGUAAUUUUCCUUGUCGAGCUUUUUAAUUCUUCCAACUACUUGAAGGUCACCCAUCAUGUUUCCAAGACUUUAACAAUGCCAAGCUAGCUUGAUAUUCACUAACGAACUUGCAAAGUUCCAAACAAAGUACUCUAAAUAAAGAACUCCACUUCAAAUCUGAACCCAACUGCCUUUUACUCAAUAGAUUUUGACAAGCCCAUUCCGUUAGAUUAAGAGAAAAGAAUUGAUGGCAUUGCGCCACCGGGAGGAAUUGGUUCCAAAGUCUUUCUAAAAAUUGUACGAUCAGCAAUCCUUAGAAAAAAGUGAUAAACUUAUUGUAAAUUGUAAAUGGUACUUGAAGAGGAUAUGUAUUUUCGCUUGUUGAGGUUCUUAUUGAAUUUGCAUAGAUUUUACUUGAAUAGCACGGGCGCCUUCUAAGUUCGAGUUAUUCACGUUGCAAACCCUAUUUGGGAUUACAGUUGAGAUGUUAUAAAUAAAUUAUUUUAUAAGUUUUGACAAUAAUAGUGCUUGGUAAAUAUUUUAAAAGUGGCUUGUUUUAUAAUUUUCACUACUUUGAUAACAAUUUUAAAAAGUAGGUGCUAGAUAGGAGUUGCAUUUUACAAGUAGUUUAUUAGAAAAGCCGUUAACCUUUUAAAGUUUUUAUUAUAAACUAAAUAUUUUGACAAAACGAUAAUUAUAUCAUAUUUUUCAAUAAACCCUGAUAUAUAUAUAUAUAUAUAUAAGACUAUUUAAACUUAUAUCUACUUUGAUUAUUAUAUACAUUGAAACAACACUAUCAUAACAAAAUUUAUCGAAUUGAUAUACUUUAUUUUUCAAAUUCACAACGACAUAAUUUACGAAAUAUUGAAUUAUUUUUUAAUUAACAAUUUAUUUUAACCGCAUAGGGAAUAGGGAUGGCAAUGGAUUGGAUUUGAUCCAAGAUCCAUGUGAUCCAAAUCCAAUCAGAUCGGAUUUGGAUCGGUUUAAAAUGGAUUUGGAUCGGAUUUGGAUAUCGAUGUGCGGAUCUAAGACGGAUCUGGAGCGGAUAUGGAUCUAUCUUAAUAUCUAAAUCCAUAUCCAUAUCCACUCAUCUUUUAAUUUAAUUUUAUUUUAAAAGUUUCUUAAUAAUUGUGGAAUGAUAAUGAUAAUAAAUUUUAUUCAUAGCAUAUUAGUAGUAUUUACCAUGAAUUUAAACUCUUAAAACUUAAAGGUUAGUUUUGUAAAUUUAAAGGUCAGCCAGCCUCAAAGCAUGUACAUGCAAUAUUCAAAUUGCAAUCCAAGUAAUAUAACCUGGUAAUUUAUUUUAUCAUAUUGGCCUAAUAAUUUUUAAGGAAUAUAGUUAUUCAUAUAUUUAGUCAAAUAUGGUCAUAAUAAAAAUAAUAAAUGACUGAAUAUAAAUCAUAUUUAAUUUAUAUGUCAUUAUCUAAUGUUGUAGGAAUGAUGGUAGGUGUAUCGUGGAUACUAGAAUGACGAAGGAGACAAUAGAAUAUUAGAUUGAUCUUACUCCUGCAAUUACUUCUGAAUGAUAUUUUAUUAUCUUUCUUAUUUGUUGUUUUGGUGUAGAAGUAUAAGCUACAAUAUUUAUUAUAUUUUUGAGAAAAAUUAUAUAAUUUAUUUGUUAUCAAUACAUUUUAGCCUCCAAUUUUCAAUCUAAAAAAUUAUUACUUUUUUAUUACGGAAUUUUAGAAUUCAUGACGGAUCUAGAGCAGAUUUGGAUUUUAAUAUUUUUUUGGAUUUGGAGCAGAUAUAGAUAUUUAUUUCUUUUUUGGAUCUGGAUAUGGAGCGAAAAAUAUGGAUUCAUAACGGAUCUAGAGCAGAUACGGAUCUUAAUUUUUAUUAUGGAUUUGGAUCUGGAGCAGAGUAGAUCCAACCCAUAUCUGCCCCAUUGCCAUCCCUAAUAGGGAAAAUAACUUACCAUUUUAGUUACCGCAAUUUGGUCAUAGCACCUAUUUUCAUGUGCCAUGAUCAAUGAUCAUAUCACGUAUUUGACCAAAAAUAUUUUCGAUAAACAAUUAUAUUGUUUAUGUUGUCUUCACUGUGAGCUAAAGCUUCAUCAAGUACCCUUCCCAACCCUUUUAAUCUUUCAUCUUGAUGUUGGAAUCUUGUUGGCCUUUGCGGCCUUGUUGAAUUUAACCUCGCUUGUUUAAUUUGGGUUUUCUGACUUUGGUUGAGCCUUGUUGAUUCUUUUCUGCGGAGUUGGAAUAUUGCCCACCCCCAAUCUUUUCAUUAAACUUUUUUUUUUCAAACCCAACUUCUACAUUCGAAUUUUAAAAAGUAUGUGUUAAUAAAAAAACAUUAUGUUAUUUUAUUAUUGUUAAAAUUCAAAGUAAUAGUCUUUUUUUUCAACUACACAUAAAUUAAAAAAUUGUCUGCGUUCACUUGAAUGACAGAUAUUUUAAAUUAUAAUUUGAGUUAAAUUGUACAGAUUUGAUAAAAUGUUCUUGAGGAAUAAUUGUAUGAUUCCCAUGCUCUCAACAUGUUUGAUAAAAUGCCCAAGUAGGAACCAUGCCAUCCCAAUUCCGAGCUGAAGUGUUGAACAACGAGAUGAUGAUGAUACAUCUGCGGCGUCACCUCUACGAUUUCCCGCCCAAAAGCAAUCAAUCAACAAGGUCAAUUUCCUAAGCUGUUGAGUAUGAUUCAAUAAUAUAAAUUUAGAGUUGUGUGUAAUCAUAAAUUCUAUAACUUCUCAGGGGUGUGUUUUGGUCAGGAUCGGAGGUGAGAGGUGUGACAUCCAUCCAGUUUAUAUGGAGGAGUUUGACAAAACUACAAUCAAAUGGAAUCGCUUUACCACUUGUAAUCUGAAUGGAUCCCUCAAUUUUUUUUUUUUUUUUUUUUUGGCAUCAAAGAUGGUUGUAGCAACAAUUUCAAGGCGAAGCCUUAUUGCAUAUGUUGAGGUGAUGAGGAACCACAACCUCAAGGAUCCAUUUAGUGAACUCAAAUAAAGGGAGAAGCCUGCUUACUAUUCUCUGUAUAUUUCAGUAAGCAUGCAUCUUCAAUUUCAGUUGGCAAUUUUUAUUUUAUACAUGUUAAAUUACCACAAAACCAAAAUAUCAUCUCCAAAGUUGUUACCUUCCAUGAAUUGAAAAUGCUUUCAUGCUUGAUCAGAUUGUUUAAGUAUGCGUUCCUAAAAUAUACAAAAGUGCUCAGGAAAAUGGCACAGAAUAAUUAGUGUAUAAUAAAGUUUAUUUUUGGUAAUUUUUGAGAUGCAUAUGGUUUUAAAGUUCUCUUCAAAUAGCUGGACUUGCCGUAUACUAUAAUAUUGUUUACUAAGGC
rnacentral:lncRNA from 1 species